rnacentral:lncRNA from 1 species
GUAGUUAGGUGUGAAUUUUCGAGACCUCUGGCACCGUUCUAAGAUGGGUCCUCUCUUCGUAGGCUAAUGCGUUGGCCCUUUUUGACCCGUUUUGGGGCGAAAACAAAAACUGACUCCCGGGCAUAUUUUUUCGGCCUUUAUGGGCAAAGAACUUUAAUGCCGCUCAGAAUGAGGCCACCCAGUAGUUAGGUGUGAAUUUUUGAGACCUCUGGCACCGUUCUAAGAUGGGUCCUCUCUUCGUAGGCUAAUGCAUUGGCCCUUUUUGACCCGUUUUGGGGCGAAAACAAAAACUGACUCCCGGGCAUAUUUUUUUCGGCCUUUAUGGGCAAAGAACUUUAAUGCCGCUCAGAAUGAGGCCACCCAGUAGUUAGGUGUGAAUUUUCGAGACCUCUGCACGUUCUAAGAUGGGUCCUCUCUUCGUAGGCUAAUGCGUUGGCCCUUUUUGACCCGUUUUGGAACGAAAACAAAAACUGACUCCCGGGCAUAUUUUUUUCGGCCUUUAUGGGCAAAGAACUUUAAUGCCGCUCAGAAUGAGGCCACCCAGUAGUUAGGUGUGAAUUUUCGAGACCUCUGGCACCGUUCUAAGAUGGGUCCUCUCUUCGUAGGCUAAUGCGUUGGCCCUUUUUGACCCGUUUUGGGCGAAAACAAAAACGGACUCCCGGGCAUAUUUUUUUCGGCUUUUAUGGGCAAAGAACUUUAAUGCCGCUCAGAAUGAGGCCACCCAGUAGUUAGGUGUGAAUUUUCGAGACCUCUGGCACCGUUCUAAGAUGGGUCCUCUCUUCGUAGGUUAAUGCGUUGGCCCUUUUUGACCCGUUUUGGAACGAAAACAAAAACUGACUCCGCGGCAUAUUUUUUUCGGCCUUUAUGGGCAAAGAACUUUAAUGCCGCUCAGAAUGAGGCCACCCAGUAGUUAGGUGUGAAUUUUCGAGACCUCUGGCACCGUUCUAAGAUGGGUCCUCUCUUCGUAGGCUAAUGCGUUGGCCCUUUUUGACCCGUUUUGGGGCGAAAACAAAAACUGACUCCGGGCAUAUUUUUUUCGGCCUUUAUGGGCAAAGAACUUUAAUGCCGCUCAGAAUGAGGCCACCCAGUAGUUAGGUGUGAAUUUUCGAGACCUCUGGCACCGUUCUAUGAUGGGUCCUCUCUUCGUAGGCUAAUGCAUUGGCCCGUUUUGGGGCCAAAACAAAAACUGACUCCCGGCAUACUUUUUUCGGCCUUUAUGGGCAAGAACUUUAAUGCCGCUCAGAAUGAGGCCACCAGUAGUUAGGUGUGAAUUUUCGAGACCUCUGGCACCGUUCUAAGAUGGGUCCUCUCUUCGUAGGCUAAUGCAUUGGCCCUUUUCGACCCGUUUUGGGGCGAAAACAAAAACUGACUCCCGGGCAUAUUUUUUUCGGCCUUUAUGGGCAAAGAACUUUAAUGCCGCUCAGAAUGAGGCCACCCAGUAGUUAGGUGUGAAUUUUCGAGACCUCUGGCACCGUUCUAAGAUGGGUCCUCUCUUUCUAGGCUAAUGCAUUGGCCCUUUUCGACCCGUUUUUGGGCGAAAACAAAAACUGACUCCCGGGCAUAUCUUUUUCGGCCUUGAUGGGCAAAGAACUUUAAUGCCGCUCAGAAUGAGGCCACCCAGUAGUUAGGUGUGAAUUUUCGAGACCUCUGGCACCGUUCUAAGAUGGGUCCUCUCUUCGUAGGCUAAUGCGUUGGCCUUUUUGACCCGUUUUGGAACGAAAACAAAAACUGACUCCCGGCAUAUUUUUUUUCGGCUUUAUGGGCAAAGAACUUUAAUGCCGCUCAGAAUGAGGCACCCAGUAGUUAGGUGUGAAUUUUCGAGACCUCUGGCACCGUUCUAAGAUGGGUCCUCUCUUCGUAGGCUAAUGCGUUGGCCCUUUUUGACCCGUUUUGGGGCGAAAACAAAAACUGACUCCCGGGCAUAUUUUUUUCGGCCUUUAUGGGCAAAGAACUUUAAUGCGCUCAGAAUGAGGCCACCCAAUAGUUAGGUGUGAAUUUUCGAGACCUCUGGCACCGUUCUAAGAUGGGUCUCUUCUUCGUAGGCUAAUGCAUUGGCCCUUUUCGACCCGUUUUGGGGCGAAAACAAAAACUGACUCCCGGGCAUAUUUUUUUCGGCCUUUAUGGGCAAAGAACUUUAAUGGCGCUCAGAAUGAGGCCACCCAGUAGUUAGGUGUGAAUUUUCGAGACCUCUGGCACCGUUCUAAGAUGGGUCCUCUCUUCGUAGGCUAAUGCAUUGGCCCUUUUCGACCCGUUUUGGGGCGAAAACAAAAACUGACUCCGGGCAUAUUUUUUUCGGCCUUUAUGGGCAAAGAACUUUAAUGCCGCUCAGAAUGAGGCCACCAGUAGUUAGGUGUGAAUUUUCGAGACCUCUGGCACCGUUCUAAGAUGGGUCCUCUCUUUGUAGGCUAAUGCAUUGGCUCCUUUCGACCCGUUUUGGGGCGAAAACAAAACCUGACUCCCGGGCAUAUUUUUUUCGGCUUAAUGGGCAAAGAACUUUAAUGCCGCUCAGAAUGAGGCACCCAGUAGUUAGGUGUGAAUUUUCGAGACCUCUGCACCGUUCUAAGAUGGGUCCUCUCUUCGUAGGCUAAUGCGUUGGCCCUUUUUGACCCGUUUUGGAACGAAAACAAAAACUGACUCCCGGGCAUAUUUUUUUCGGCCUUUAUGGGCAAAGAACUUUGAAUGCCGCUCAGAAUGAGGCCACCCAGUAGUUAGGUGUGAAUUUUCGGAGACCCUUCUUGGCACCCGUUCUAAGAUGGUUUCGUAGGCUAAUGCAUUGGCCCUUUUUGACCCGUUUUGGGGCGAAAACAAAAACUGACUCCCGGGCAUAUUUUUUUCGGCCUUUAUGGGCAGAGAACUUUAAUACCGCUCAAAAUGAGGCCACCCAGUAGUUAGGUGUGAAUUUUCGAGACCUUUGGCACCGUUCUAAGAUGGGUCCUCUCUUCGUAGGCUAAUGCAUUGGCCCUUUUUGACCCGUUUUGGGGCGAAAACAAAAACUGACUCCCGGGCAUAUUUUUUUCGGCCUUUAUGGGCAGAGAACUUUAAUACCGCUCAAAAUGAGGCCACCCAGUAGUUAGGUGUGAAUUUUCGAGACCUUUGGCACCGUUCUAAGAUGGGUCCUCUCUUCGUAGGCUAAUGCAUUGGCCCUUUUUGACCCGUUUUGGGGCGAAAACAAAAACUGACUCCCGGGCAUAUUUUUUUCGGCCUUUAUGGGCAGAGAACUUUAAUACCGCUCAAAAUGAGGCCACCCAGUAGUUAGGUGUGAAUUUUCGAGACCUUUGGCACCGUUCUAAGAUGGGUCCUCUCUUCGUAGGCUAAUGCAUUGGCCCUUUUUGACCCGUUUUGGGGCGAAAACAAAAACUGACUCCCGGGCAUAUUUUUUUCGGCCUUUAUGGGCAGAGAACUUUAAUACCGCUCGAAAUGAGGCCACCCAGUAGUUAGGUGUGAAUUUUCGAGACCUUUGGCACCGUUCUAAGAUGGGUCCUCUCUUCGUAGGCUAAUGCAUUGGCCCUUUUUGACCCGUUUUGGGGCGAAAACAAAAACUGACUCCCGGGCAUAUUUUUUUCGGCCUUUAUGGGCAGAGAACUUUAAUACCGCUCAAAAUGAGGCCACCCAGUAGUUAGGUGUGAAUUUUCGAGACCUUUGGCACCGUUCUAAGAUGGGUCCUCUCUUCGUAGGCUAAUGCAUUGGCCCUUUUUGACCCGUUUUGGGCGAAAACAAAAACUGACUCCCGGGCAUAUUUUUUUCGGCCUUUAUGGGCAGAGAACUUUAAUACCGCUCAAAAUGAGGCCACCCAGUAGUUAGGUGUGAAUUUUCGAGACCUUUGGCACCGUUCUAAGAUGGGUCCUCUCUUCGUAGGCUAAUGCAUUGGCCCUUUUUGACCCGUUUUGGGGCGAAAACAAAAACUGACUCCCGGGCAUAUUUUUUUCGGCCUUUAUGGGCAGAGAACUUUAAUACCGCUCAAAAUGAGGCCACCCAGUAGUUAGGUGUGAAUUUUCGAGACCUUUGGCACCGUUCUAAGAUGGGUCCUCUCUUCGUAGGCUAAUGCAUUGGCCCUUUUUGGGGCGAAAACAAAAACUGACUCCCGGGCAUAUUUUUUUCGGCCUUUAUGGGCAGAGAACUUUAAUACCGCUCAAAAUGAGGCCACCCAGUAGUUAGGUGUGAAUUUUCGAGACCUUUGGCACCGUUCUAAGAUGGGUCCUCUCUUCGUAGGCUAAUGCAUUGGCCCUUUUUGACCCGUUUUGGGGCGAAAACAAAAACUGACUCCCGGCAUAUUUUUUUCGGCCUUUAUGGGCAGAGAACUUUAAUACCGCUCAAAAUGAGGCCACCCAGUAGUUAGGUGUGAAUUUUCGAGACCUUUGGCACCGUUCUAAGAUGGGUCCUCUCUUCGUAGGCUAAUGCAUUGGCCCUUUUUGACCCGUUUUGGCGAAAACAAAAACUGACUCCCGGGCAUAUUUUUUUCGGCCUUUAUGGGCAGAGAACUUUAAUACCGCUCGAAAUGAGGCCACCCAGUAGUUAGGUGUGAAUUUUCGAGACCUUUGGCACCGUUCUAAGAUGGGUCCUCUCUUCGUAGGCUAAUGCAUUGGCCCUUUUUGACCCGUUUUGGCGAAAACAAAAACUGACUCCCGGGCAUAUUUUUUUCGGCCUUUAUGGGCAGAGAACUUUAAUACCGCUCAAAAUGAGGCCACCCAGUAGUUAGGUGUGAAUUUUCGAGACCUUUGGCACCGUUCUAAGAUGGGUCCUCUCUUCGUAGGCUAAUGCAUUGGCCCUUUUUGACCCGUUUUGGGGCGAAAACAAAAACUGACUCCCGGGCAUAUUUUUUUCGGCCUUUAUGGGCAGAGAACUUUAAUACCGCUCAAAAUGAGGCCACCCAGUAGUUAGGUGUGAAUUUUCGAGACCUUUGGCACCGUUCUAAGAUGGGUCCUCUCUUCGUAGGCUAAUGCAUUGGCCCUUUUUGACCCGUUUUGGGGCGAAAACAAAAACUGACUCCCGGGCAUAUUUUUUUCGGCCUUUAUGGGCAGAGAACUUUAAUACCGCUCAAAAUGAGGCCACCCAGUAGUUAGGUGUGAAUUUUCGAGACCUUUGGCACCGUUCUAAGAUGGGUCCUCUCUUCGUAGGCUAAUGCAUUGGCCCUUUUUGACCCGUUUUGGGGCGAAAACAAAAACUGACUCCCGGGCAUAUUUUUUUCGGCCUUUAUGGGCAGAGAACUUUAAUACCGCUCAAAAUGAGGCCACCCAGUAGUUAGGUGUGAAUUUUCGAGACCUUUGGCACCGUUCUAAGAUGGGUCCUCUCUUCGUAGGCUAAUGCAUUGGCCCUUUUUGACCCGUUUUGGGGCGAAAACAAAAACUGACUCCCGGGCAUAUUUUUUUCGGCCUUUAUGGGCAGAGAACUUUAAUACCGCUCAAAAUGAGGCCACCCAGUAGUUAGGUGUGAAUUUUCGAGACCUUUGGCACCGUUCUAAGAUGGGUCCUCUCUUCGUAGGCUAAUGCAUUGGCCCUUUUUGACCCGUUUUGGGGCGAAAACAAAAACUGACUCCCGGGCAUAUUUUUUUCGGCCUUUAUGGGCAGAGAACUUUAAUACCGCUCAAAAUGAGGCCACCCAGUAGUUAGGUGUGAAUUUUCGAGACCUUUGGCACCGUUCUAAGAUGGGUCCUCUCUUCGUAGGCUAAUGCAUUGGCCCUUUUUGACCCGUUUUGGGGCGAAAACAAAAACUGACUCCCGGGCAUAUUUUUUUCGGCCUUUAUGGGCAGAGAACUUUAAUACCGCUCAAAAUGAGGCCACCCAGUAGUUAGGUGUGAAUUUUCGAGACCUUUGGCACCGUUCUAAGAUGGGUCCUCUCUUCGUAGGCUAAUGCAUUGGCCCUUUUUGACCCGUUUUGGGGCGAAAACAAAAACUGACUCCCGGGCAUAUUUUUUUCGGCCUUUAUGGGCAGAGAACUUUAAUACCGCUCAAAAUGAGGCCACCCAGUAGUUAGGUGUGAAUUUUCGAGACCUUUGGCACCGUUCUAAGAUGGGUCCUCUCUUCGUAGGCUAAUGCAUUGGCCCUUUUUGACCCGUUUUGGGGCGAAAACAAAAACUGACUCCCGGGCAUAUUUUUUUCGGCCUUUAUGGGCAGAGAACUUUAAUACCGCUCAAAAUGAGGCCACCCAGUAGUUAGGUGUGAAUUUUCGAGACCUUUGGCACCGUUCUAAGAUGGGUCCUCUCUUCGUAGGCUAAUGCAUUGGCCCUUUUUGACCCGUUUUGGGGCGAAAACAAAAACUGACUCCCGGGCAUAUUUUUUUCGGCCUUUAUGGGCAGAGAACUUUAAUACCGCUCAAAAUGAGGCCACCCAGUAGUUAGGUGUGAAUUUUCGAGACCUUUGGCACCGUUCUAAGAUGGGUCCUCUCUUCGUAGGCUAAUGCAUUGGCCCUUUUUGACCCGUUUUGGGGCGAAAACAAAAACUGACUCCCGGGCAUAUUUUUUUCGGCCUUUAUGGGCAGAGAACUUUAAUACCGCUCAAAAUGAGGCCACCCAGUAGUUAGGUGUGAAUUUUCGAGACCUUUGGCACCGUUCUAAGAUGGGUCCUCUCUUCGUAGGCUAAUGCAUUGGCCCUUUUUGACCCGUUUUGGGGCGAAAACAAAAACUGACUCCCGGGCAUAUUUUUUUCGGCCUUUAUGGGCAGAGAACUUUAAUACCGCUCAAAAUGAGGCCACCCAGUAGUUAGGUGUGAAUUUUCGAGACCUUUGGCACCGUUCUAAGAUGGGUCCUCUCUUCGUAGGCUAAUGCAUUGGCCCUUUUUGACCCGUUUUGGGGCGAAAACAAAAACUGACUCCCGGGCAUAUUUUUUUCGGCCUUUAUGGGCAGAGAACUUUAAUACCGCUCAAAAUGAGGCCACCCAGUAGUUAGGUGUGAAUUUUCGAGACCUUUGGCACCGUUCUAAGAUGGGUCCUCUCUUCGUAGGCUAAUGCAUUGGCCCUUUUUGACCCGUUUUGGGGCGAAAACAAAAACUGACUCCCGGGCAUAUUUUUUUCGGCCUUUAUGGGCAGAGAACUUUAAUACCGCUCAAAAUGAGGCCACCCAGUAGUUAGGUGUGAAUUUUCGAGACCUUUGGCACCGUUCUAAGAUGGGUCCUCUCUUCGUAGGCUAAUGCAUUGGCCCUUUUUGACCCGUUUUGGGGCGAAAACAAAAACUGACUCCCGGGCAUAUUUUUUUCGGCCUUUAUGGGCAGAGAACUUUAAUACCGCUCAAAAUGAGGCCACCCAGUAGUUAGGUGUGAAUUUUCGAGACCUUUGGCACCGUUCUAAGAUGGGUCCUCUCUUCGUAGGCUAAUGCAUUGGCCCUUUUUGACCCGUUUUGGGGCGAAAACAAAAACUGACUCCCGGGCAUAUUUUUUUCGGCCUUUAUGGGCAGAGAACUUUAAUACCGCUCAAAAUGAGGCCACCCAGUAGUUAGGUGUGAAUUUUCGAGACCUUUGGCACCGUUCUAAGAUGGGUCCUCUCUUCGUAGGCUAAUGCAUUGGCCCUUUUUGACCCGUUUUGGGGCGAAAACAAAAACUGACUCCCGGGCAUAUUUUUUUCGGCCUUUAUGGGCAGAGAACUUUAAUACCGCUCAAAAUGAGGCCACCCAGUAGUUAGGUGUGAAUUUUCGAGACCUUUGGCACCGUUCUAAGAUGGGUCCUCUCUUCGUAGGCUAAUGCAUUGGCCCUUUUUGACCCGUUUUGGGGCGAAAACAAAAACUGACUCCCGGGCAUAUUUUUUUCGGCCUUUAUGGGCAGAGAACUUUAAUACCGCUCAAAAUGAGGCCACCCAGUAGUUAGGUGUGAAUUUUCGAGACCUUUGGCACCGUUCUAAGAUGGGUCCUCUCUUCGUAGGCUAAUGCAUUGGCCCUUUUUGACCCGUUUUGGGGCGAAAACAAAAACUGACUCCCGGGCAUAUUUUUUUCGGCCUUUAUGGGCAGAGAACUUUAAUACCGCUCAAAAUGAGGCCACCCAGUAGUUAGGUGUGAAUUUUCGAGACCUUUGGCACCGUUCUAAGAUGGGUCCUCUCUUCGUAGGCUAAUGCAUUGGCCCUUUUUGACCCGUUUUGGGGCGAAAACAAAAACUGACUCCCGGGCAUAUUUUUUUCGGCCUUUAUGGGCAGAGAACUUUAAUACCGCUCAAAAUGAGGCCACCCAGUAGUUAGGUGUGAAUUUUCGAGACCUUUGGCACCGUUCUAAGAUGGGUCCUCUCUUCGUAGGCUAAUGCAUUGGCCCUUUUUGACCCGUUUUGGGGCGAAAACAAAAACUGACUCCCGGGCAUAUUUUUUUCGGCCUUUAUGGGCAGAGAACUUUAAUACCGCUCAAAAUGAGGCCACCCAGUAGUUAGGUGUGAAUUUUCGAGACCUUUGGCACCGUUCUAAGAUGGGUCCUCUCUUCGUAGGCUAAUGCAUUGGCCCUUUUUGACCCGUUUUGGGGCGAAAACAAAAACUGACUCCCGGGCAUAUUUUUUUCGGCCUUUAUGGGCAGAGAACUUUAAUACCGCUCAAAAUGAGGCCACCCAGUAGUUAGGUGUGAAUUUUCGAGACCUUUGGCACCGUUCUAAGAUGGGUCCUCUCUUCGUAGGCUAAUGCAUUGGCCCUUUUUGACCCGUUUUGGGGCGAAAACAAAAACUGACUCCCGGGCAUAUUUUUUUCGGCCUUUAUGGGCAGAGAACUUUAAUACCGCUCAAAAUGAGGCCACCCAGUAGUUAGGUGUGAAUUUUCGAGACCUUUGGCACCGUUCUAAGAUGGGUCCUCUCUUCGUAGGCUAAUGCAUUGGCCCUUUUUGACCCGUUUUGGGGCGAAAACAAAAACUGACUCCCGGGCAUAUUUUUUUCGGCCUUUAUGGGCAGAGAACUUUAAUACCGCUCAAAAUGAGGCCACCCAGUAGUUAGGUGUGAAUUUUCGAGACCUUUGGCACCGUUCUAAGAUGGGUCCUCUCUUCGUAGGCUAAUGCAUUGGCCCUUUUUGACCCGUUUUGGGGCGAAAACAAAAACUGACUCCCGGGCAUAUUUUUUUCGGCCUUUAUGGGCAGAGAACUUUAAUACCGCUCAAAAUGAGGCCACCCAGUAGUUAGGUGUGAAUUUUCGAGACCUUUGGCACCGUUCUAAGAUGGGUCCUCUCUUCGUAGGCUAAUGCAUUGGCCCUUUUUGACCCGUUUUGGGGCGAAAACAAAAACUGACUCCCGGGCAUAUUUUUUUCGGCCUUUAUGGGCAGAGAACUUUAAUACCGCUCAAAAUGAGGCCACCCAGUAGUUAGGUGUGAAUUUUCGAGACCUUUGGCACCGUUCUAAGAUGGGUCCUCUCUUCGUAGGCUAAUGCAUUGGCCCUUUUUGACCCGUUUUGGGGCGAAAACAAAAACUGACUCCCGGGCAUAUUUUUUUCGGCCUUUAUGGGCAGAGAACUUUAAUACCGCUCAAAAUGAGGCCACCCAGUAGUUAGGUGUGAAUUUUCGAGACCUUUGGCACCGUUCUAAGAUGGGUCCUCUCUUCGUAGGCUAAUGCAUUGGCCCUUUUUGACCCGUUUUGGGGCGAAAACAAAAACUGACUCCCGGGCAUAUUUUUUUCGGCCUUUAUGGGCAGAGAACUUUAAUACCGCUCAAAAUGAGGCCACCCAGUAGUUAGGUGUGAAUUUUCGAGACCUUUGGCACCGUUCUAAGAUGGGUCCUCUCUUCGUAGGCUAAUGCAUUGGCCCUUUUUGACCCGUUUUGGGGCGAAAACAAAAACUGACUCCCGGGCAUAUUUUUUUCGGCCUUUAUGGGCAGAGAACUUUAAUACCGCUCAAAAUGAGGCCACCCAGUAGUUAGGUGUGAAUUUUCGAGACCUUUGGCACCGUUCUAAGAUGGGUCCUCUCUUCGUAGGCUAAUGCAUUGGCCCUUUUUGACCCGUUUUGGGGCGAAAACAAAAACUGACUCCCGGGCAUAUUUUUUUCGGCCUUUAUGGGCAGAGAACUUUAAUACCGCUCAAAAUGAGGCCACCCAGUAGUUAGGUGUGAAUUUUCGAGACCUUUGGCACCGUUCUAAGAUGGGUCCUCUCUUCGUAGGCUAAUGCAUUGGCCCUUUUUGACCCGUUUUGGGGCGAAAACAAAAACUGACUCCCGGGCAUAUUUUUUUCGGCCUUUAUGGGCAGAGAACUUUAAUACCGCUCAAAAUGAGGCCACCCAGUAGUUAGGUGUGAAUUUUCGAGACCUUUGGCACCGUUCUAAGAUGGGUCCUCUCUUCGUAGGCUAAUGCAUUGGCCCUUUUUGACCCGUUUUGGGGCGAAAACAAAAACUGACUCCCGGGCAUAUUUUUUUCGGCCUUUAUGGGCAGAGAACUUUAAUACCGCUCAAAAUGAGGCCACCCAGUAGUUAGGUGUGAAUUUUCGAGACCUUUGGCACCGUUCUAAGAUGGGUCCUCUCUUCGUAGGCUAAUGCAUUGGCCCUUUUUGACCCGUUUUGGGGCGAAAACAAAAACUGACUCCCGGGCAUAUUUUUUUCGGCCUUUAUGGGCAGAGAACUUUAAUACCGCUCAAAAUGAGGCCACCCAGUAGUUAGGUGUGAAUUUUCGAGACCUUUGGCACCGUUCUAAGAUGGGUCCUCUCUUCGUAGGCUAAUGCAUUGGCCCUUUUUGACCCGUUUUGGGGCGAAAACAAAAACUGACUCCCGGGCAUAUUUUUUUCGGCCUUUAUGGGCAGAGAACUUUAAUACCGCUCAAAAUGAGGCCACCCAGUAGUUAGGUGUGAAUUUUCGAGACCUUUGGCACCGUUCUAAGAUGGGUCCUCUCUUCGUAGGCUAAUGCAUUGGCCCUUUUUGACCCGUUUUGGGGCGAAAACAAAAACUGACUCCCGGGCAUAUUUUUUUCGGCCUUUAUGGGCAGAGAACUUUAAUACCGCUCAAAAUGAGGCCACCCAGUAGUUAGGUGUGAAUUUUCGAGACCUUUGGCACCGUUCUAAGAUGGGUCCUCUCUUCGUAGGCUAAUGCAUUGGCCCUUUUUGACCCGUUUUGGGGCGAAAACAAAAACUGACUCCCGGGCAUAUUUUUUUCGGCCUUUAUGGGCAGAGAACUUUAAUACCGCUCAAAAUGAGGCCACCCAGUAGUUAGGUGUGAAUUUUCGAGACCUUUGGCACCGUUCUAAGAUGGGUCCUCUCUUCGUAGGCUAAUGCAUUGGCCCUUUUUGACCCGUUUUGGGGCGAAAACAAAAACUGACUCCCGGGCAUAUUUUUUUCGGCCUUUAUGGGCAGAGAACUUUAAUACCGCUCAAAAUGAGGCCACCCAGUAGUUAGGUGUGAAUUUUCGAGACCUUUGGCACCGUUCUAAGAUGGGUCCUCUCUUCGUAGGCUAAUGCAUUGGCCCUUUUUGACCCGUUUUGGGGCGAAAACAAAAACUGACUCCCGGGCAUAUUUUUUUCGGCCUUUAUGGGCAGAGAACUUUAAUACCGCUCAAAAUGAGGCCACCCAGUAGUUAGGUGUGAAUUUUCGAGACCUUUGGCACCGUUCUAAGAUGGGUCCUCUCUUCGUAGGCUAAUGCAUUGGCCCUUUUUGACCCGUUUUGGGGCGAAAACAAAAACUGACUCCCGGGCAUAUUUUUUUCGGCCUUUAUGGGCAGAGAACUUUAAUACCGCUCAAAAUGAGGCCACCCAGUAGUUAGGUGUGAAUUUUCGAGACCUUUGGCACCGUUCUAAGAUGGGUCCUCUCUUCGUAGGCUAAUGCAUUGGCCCUUUUUGACCCGUUUUGGGGCGAAAACAAAAACUGACUCCCGGGCAUAUUUUUUUCGGCCUUUAUGGGCAGAGAACUUUAAUACCGCUCAAAAUGAGGCCACCCAGUAGUUAGGUGUGAAUUUUCGAGACCUUUGGCACCGUUCUAAGAUGGGUCCUCUCUUCGUAGGCUAAUGCAUUGGCCCUUUUUGACCCGUUUUGGGGCGAAAACAAAAACUGACUCCCGGGCAUAUUUUUUUCGGCCUUUAUGGGCAGAGAACUUUAAUACCGCUCAAAAUGAGGCCACCCAGUAGUUAGGUGUGAAUUUUCGAGACCUUUGGCACCGUUCUAAGAUGGGUCCUCUCUUCGUAGGCUAAUGCAUUGGCCCUUUUUGACCCGUUUUGGGGCGAAAACAAAAACUGACUCCCGGGCAUAUUUUUUUCGGCCUUUAUGGGCAGAGAACUUUAAUACCGCUCAAAAUGAGGCCACCCAGUAGUUAGGUGUGAAUUUUCGAGACCUUUGGCACCGUUCUAAGAUGGGUCCUCUCUUCGUAGGCUAAUGCAUUGGCCCUUUUUGACCCGUUUUGGGGCGAAAACAAAAACUGACUCCCGGGCAUAUUUUUUUCGGCCUUUAUGGGCAGAGAACUUUAAUACCGCUCAAAAUGAGGCCACCCAGUAGUUAGGUGUGAAUUUUCGAGACCUUUGGCACCGUUCUAAGAUGGGUCCUCUCUUCGUAGGCUAAUGCAUUGGCCCUUUUUGACCCGUUUUGGGGCGAAAACAAAAACUGACUCCCGGGCAUAUUUUUUUCGGCCUUUAUGGGCAGAGAACUUUAAUACCGCUCAAAAUGAGGCCACCCAGUAGUUAGGUGUGAAUUUUCGAGACCUUUGGCACCGUUCUAAGAUGGGUCCUCUCUUCGUAGGCUAAUGCAUUGGCCCUUUUUGACCCGUUUUGGGGCGAAAACAAAAACUGACUCCCGGGCAUAUUUUUUUCGGCCUUUAUGGGCAGAGAACUUUAAUACCGCUCAAAAUGAGGCCACCCAGUAGUUAGGUGUGAAUUUUCGAGACCUUUGGCACCGUUCUAAGAUGGGUCCUCUCUUCGUAGGCUAAUGCAUUGGCCCUUUUUGACCCGUUUUGGGGCGAAAACAAAAACUGACUCCCGGGCAUAUUUUUUUCGGCCUUUAUGGGCAGAGAACUUUAAUACCGCUCAAAAUGAGGCCACCCAGUAGUUAGGUGUGAAUUUUCGAGACCUUUGGCACCGUUCUAAGAUGGGUCCUCUCUUCGUAGGCUAAUGCAUUGGCCCUUUUUGACCCGUUUUGGGGCGAAAACAAAAACUGACUCCCGGGCAUAUUUUUUUCGGCCUUUAUGGGCAGAGAACUUUAAUACCGCUCAAAAUGAGGCCACCCAGUAGUUAGGUGUGAAUUUUCGAGACCUUUGGCACCGUUCUAAGAUGGGUCCUCUCUUCGUAGGCUAAUGCAUUGGCCCUUUUUGACCCGUUUUGGGGCGAAAACAAAAACUGACUCCCGGGCAUAUUUUUUUCGGCCUUUAUGGGCAGAGAACUUUAAUACCGCUCAAAAUGAGGCCACCCAGUAGUUAGGUGUGAAUUUUCGAGACCUUUGGCACCGUUCUAAGAUGGGUCCUCUCUUCGUAGGCUAAUGCAUUGGCCCUUUUUGACCCGUUUUGGGGCGAAAACAAAAACUGACUCCCGGGCAUAUUUUUUUCGGCCUUUAUGGGCAGAGAACUUUAAUACCGCUCAAAAUGAGGCCACCCAGUAGUUAGGUGUGAAUUUUCGAGACCUUUGGCACCGUUCUAAGAUGGGUCCUCUCUUCGUAGGCUAAUGCAUUGGCCCUUUUUGACCCGUUUUGGGGCGAAAACAAAAACUGACUCCCGGGCAUAUUUUUUUCGGCCUUUAUGGGCAGAGAACUUUAAUACCGCUCAAAAUGAGGCCACCCAGUAGUUAGGUGUGAAUUUUCGAGACCUUUGGCACCGUUCUAAGAUGGGUCCUCUCUUCGUAGGCUAAUGCAUUGGCCCUUUUUGACCCGUUUUGGGGCGAAAACAAAAACUGACUCCCGGGCAUAUUUUUUCGGCCUUUAUGGGCAGAGAACUUUAAUACCGCUCAAAAUGAGGCCACCCAGUAGUUAGGUGUGAAUUUUCGAGACCUUUGGCACCGUUCUAAGAUGGGUCCUCUCUUCGUAGGCUAAUGCAUUGGCCCUUUUUGACCCGUUUUGGGGCGAAAACAAAAACUGACUCCCGGGCAUAUUUUUUUCGGCCUUUAUGGGCAGAGAACUUUAAUACCGCUCAAAAUGAGGCCACCCAGUAGUUAGGUGUGAAUUUUCGAGACCUUUGGCACCGUUCUAAGAUGGGUCCUCUCUUCGUAGGCUAAUGCAUUGGCCCUUUUUCCCACAAAAAGCGCUCGGAGAUGCCCAGACUCAGUUUUUAUUUUCGUCCCAAUACUUUUCUUCCCAUGGUUUAGUUGUGUUUCUUUGAUCUUGUGCAACCUAUUUAGACCGAUGAUAGCCCGCGGAUGGGUGUGGAAACCCAUCUAUAUUGCACCCAGUAGGACACAGAAAAAAAGCCCAGGGCCUAGGGGUCGGGUGGGGCUCGUUCGGGGUGCACAACGGUUGCGCCAAAAACGGUCCAAAAAUGGCCAAGGCUUUACCACACGAAAAAUCGGCCGAUUUUUAACCAUGUGAGAAACGUCCCGAAAGUUCACAGAUAACUACUAGGCGGCCUCACUCUGAGUAAUAUCAAAGUUUUUUCCCACAAAAAGCGCUCGGAGAUGCCCAGACUCAGUUUUUAUUUUCGUCCCAAUACUUUUCUUCCCAUGGUUUAGUUGUGUUUCUUUGAUCUUGUGCAACCUAUUUAGACCGAUGAUAGCCCGCGGAUGGGUGUGGAAACCCAUCUAUAUUGCACCCAGUAGGACACAGAAAAAAAGCCCAGGGCCUAGGGGUCGGGUGGGGCUCGUUCGGGGUGCACAACGGUUGCGCCAAAAACGGUCCAAAAAUGGCCAAGGCUUUACCACACGAAAAAUCGGCCGAUUUUUAACCAUGUGAGAAACGUCCCGAAAGUUCACAGAUAACUACUAGGCGGCCUCACUCUGAGUAAUAUCAAAGUUUUUUCCCACAAAAAGCGCUCGGAGAUGCCCAGACUCAGUUUUUAUUUUCGUCCCAAUACUUUUCUUCCCAUGGUUUAGUUGUGUCUCUUUGAUCUUGUGCAACCUAUUUAGACCGAUGAUAGCCCGCGGAUGGGUGUGGAAACCCAUCUAUAUUGCACCCAGUAGGACACAGAAAAAAAGCCCAGGGCCUAGGGGUCGGGUGGGGCUCGUUCGGGGUGCACAACGGUUGCGCCAAAAACGGUCCAAAAAUGGCCAAGGCUUUACCACACGAAAAAUCGGCCGAUUUUUAACCAUGUGAGAAACGUCCCGAAAGUUCACAGAUAACUACUAGGCGGCCUCACUCUGAGUAAUAUCAAAGUUUUUUCCCACAAAAAGCGCUCGGAGAUGCCCAGACUCAGUUUUUAUUUUCGUCCCAAUACUUUUCUUCCCAUGGUUUAGUUGUGUCUCUUUGAUCUUGUGCAACCUAUUUAGACCGAUGAUAGCCCGCGGAUGGGUGUGGAAACCCAUCUAUAUUGCACCCAGUAGGACACAGAAAAAAAGCCCAGGGCCUAGGGGUCGGGUGGGGCUCGUUCGGGGUGCACAACGGUUGCGCCAAAAACGGUCCAAAAAUGGCCAAGGCUUUACCACACGAAAAAUCGGCCGAUUUUUAACCAUGUGAGAAACGUCCCGAAAGUUCACAGAUAACUACUAGGCGGCCUCACUCUGAGUAAUAUCAAAGUUUUUUCCCACAAAAAGCGCUCGGAGAUGCCCAGACUCAGUUUUUAUUUUCGUCCCAAUACUUUUCUUCCCAUGGUUUAGUUGUGUCUCUUUGAUCUUGUGCAACCUAUUUAGACCGAUGAUAGCCCGCGGAUGGGUGUGGAAACCCAUCUAUAUUGCACCCAGUAGGACACAGAAAAAAAGCCCAGGGCCUAGGGGUCGGGUGGGGCUCGUUCGGGGUGCACAACGGUUGCGCCAAAAACGGUCCAAAAAUGGCCAAGGCUUUACCACACGAAAAAUCGGCCGAUUUUUAACCAUGUGAGAAACGUCCCGAAAGUUCACAGAUAACUACUAGGCGGCCUCACUCUGAGUAAUAUCAAAGUUUUUUCCCACAAAAAGCGCUCGGAGAUGCCCAGACUCAGUUUUUAUUUUCGUCCCAAUACUUUUCUUCCCAUGGUUUAGUUGUGUCUCUUUGAUCUUGUGCAACCUAUUUAGACCGAUGAUAGCCCGCGGAUGGGUGUGGAAACCCAUCUAUAUUGCACCCAGUAGGACACAGAAAAAAAGCCCAGGGCCUAGGGGUCGGGUGGGGCUCGUUCGGGGUGCACAACGGUUGCGCCAAAAACGGUCCAAAAAUGGCCAAGGCUUUACCACACGAAAAAUCGGCCGAUUUUUAACCAUGUGAGAAACGUCCCGAAAGUUCACAGAUAACUACUAGGCGGCCUCACUCUGAGUAAUAUCAAAGUUUUUUCCCACAAAAAGCGCUCGGAGAUGCCCAGACUCAGUUUUUAUUUUCGUCCCAAUACUUUUCUUCCCAUGGUUUAGUUGUGUCUCUUUGAUCUUGUGCAACCUAUUUAGACCGAUGAUAGCCCGCGGAUGGGUGUGGAAACCCAUCUAUAUUGCACCCAGUAGGACACAGAAAAAAAGCCCAGGGCCUAGGGGUCGGGUGGGGCUCGUUCGGGGUGCACAACGGUUGCGCCAAAAACGGUCCAAAAAUGGCCAAGGCUUUACCACACGAAAAAUCGGCCGAUUUUUAACCAUGUGAGAAACGUCCCGAAAGUUCACAGAUAACUACUAGGCGGCCUCACUCUGAGUAAUAUCAAAGUUUUUUCCCACAAAAAGCGCUCGGAGAUGCCCAGACUCAGUUUUUAUUUUCGUCCCAAUACUUUUCUUCCCAUGGUUUAGUUGUGUCUCUUUGAUCUUGUGCAACCUAUUUAGACCGAUGAUAGCCCGCGGAUGGGUGUGGAAACCCAUCUAUAUUGCACCCAGUAGGACACAGAAAAAAAGCCCAGGGCCUAGGGGUCGGGUGGGGCUCGUUCGGGGUGCACAACGGUUGCGCCAAAAACGGUCCAAAAAUGGCCAAGGCUUUACCACACGAAAAAUCGGCCGAUUUUUAACCAUGUGAGAAACGUCCCGAAAGUUCACAGAUAACUACUAGGCGGCCUCACUCUGAGUAAUAUCAAAGUUUUUUCCCACAAAAAGCGCUCGGAGAUGCCCAGACUCAGUUUUUAUUUUCGUCCCAAUACUUUUCUUCCCAUGGUUUAGUUGUGUCUCUUUGAUCUUGUGCAACCUAUUUAGACCGAUGAUAGCCCGCGGAUGGGUGUGGAAACCCAUCUAUAUUGCACCCAGUAGGACACAGAAAAAAAGCCCAGGGCCUAGGGGUCGGGUGGGGCUCGUUCGGGGUGCACAACGGUUGCGCCAAAAACGGUCCAAAAAUGGCCAAGGCUUUACCACACGAAAAAUCGGCCGAUUUUUAACCAUGUGAGAAACGUCCCGAAAGUUCACAGAUAACUACUAGGCGGCCUCACUCUGAGUAAUAUCAAAGUUUUUUCCCACAAAAAGCGCUCGGAGAUGCCCAGACUCAGUUUUUAUUUUCGUCCCAAUACUUUUCUUCCCAUGGUUUAGUUGUGUCUCUUUGAUCUUGUGCAACCUAUUUAGACCGAUGAUAGCCCGCGGAUGGGUGUGGAAACCCAUCUAUAUUGCACCCAGUAGGACACAGAAAAAAAGCCCAGGGCCUAGGGGUCGGGUGGGGCUCGUUCGGGGUGCACAACGGUUGCGCCAAAAACGGUCCAAAAAUGGCCAAGGCUUUACCACACGAAAAAUCGGCCGAUUUUUAACCAUGUGAGAAACGUCCCGAAAGUUCACAGAUAACUACUAGGCGGCCUCACUCUGAGUAAUAUCAAAGUUUUUUCCCACAAAAAGCGCUCGGAGAUGCCCAGACUCAGUUUUUAUUUUCGUCCCAAUACUUUUCUUCCCAUGGUUUAGUUGUGUCUCUUUGAUCUUGUGCAACCUAUUUAGACCGAUGAUAGCCCGCGGAUGGGUGUGGAAACCCAUCUAUAUUGCACCCAGUAGGACACAGAAAAAAAGCCCAGGGCCUAGGGGUCGGGUGGGGCUCGUUCGGGGUGCACAACGGUUGCGCCAAAAACGGUCCAAAAAUGGCCAAGGCUUUACCACACGAAAAAUCGGCCGAUUUUUAACCAUGUGAGAAACGUCCCGAAAGUUCACAGAUAACUACUAGGCGGCCUCACUCUGAGUAAUAUCAAAGUUUUUUCCCACAAAAAGCGCUCGGAGAUGCCCAGACUCAGUUUUUAUUUUCGUCCCAAUACUUUUCUUCCCAUGGUUUAGUUGUGUCUCUUUGAUCUUGUGCAACCUAUUUAGACCGAUGAUAGCCCGCGGAUGGGUGUGGAAACCCAUCUAUAUUGCACCCAGUAGGACACAGAAAAAAAGCCCAGGGCCUAGGGGUCGGGUGGGGCUCGUUCGGGGUGCACAACGGUUGCGCCAAAAACGGUCCAAAAAUGGCCAAGGCUUUACCACACGAAAAAUCGGCCGAUUUUUAACCAUGUGAGAAACGUCCCGAAAGUUCACAGAUAACUACUAGGCGGCCUCACUCUGAGUAAUAUCAAAGUUUUUUCCCACAAAAAGCGCUCGGAGAUGCCCAGACUCAGUUUUUAUUUUCGUCCCAAUACUUUUCUUCCCAUGGUUUAGUUGUGUCUCUUUGAUCUUGUGCAACCUAUUUAGACCGAUGAUAGCCCGCGGAUGGGUGUGGAAACCCAUCUAUAUUGCACCCAGUAGGACACAGAAAAAAAGCCCAGGGCCUAGGGGUCGGGUGGGGCUCGUUCGGGGUGCACAACGGUUGCGCCAAAAACGGUCCAAAAAUGGCCAAGGCUUUACCACACGAAAAAUCGGCCGAUUUUUAACCAUGUGAGAAACGUCCCGAAAGUUCACAGAUAACUACUAGGCGGCCUCACUCUGAGUAAUAUCAAAGUUUUUUCCCACAAAAAGCGCUCGGAGAUGCCCAGACUCAGUUUUUAUUUUCGUCCCAAUACUUUUCUUCCCAUGGUUUAGUUGUGUCUCUUUGAUCUUGUGCAACCUAUUUAGACCGAUGAUAGCCCGCGGAUGGGUGUGGAAACCCAUCUAUAUUGCACCCAGUAGGACACAGAAAAAAAGCCCAGGGCCUAGGGGUCGGGUGGGGCUCGUUCGGGGUGCACAACGGUUGCGCCAAAAACGGUCCAAAAAUGGCCAAGGCUUUACCACACGAAAAAUCGGCCGAUUUUUAACCAUGUGAGAAACGUCCCGAAAGUUCACAGAUAACUACUAGGCGGCCUCACUCUGAGUAAUAUCAAAGUUUUUUCCCACAAAAAGCGCUCGGAGAUGCCCAGACUCAGUUUUUAUUUUCGUCCCAAUACUUUUCUUCCCAUGGUUUAGUUGUGUCUCUUUGAUCUUGUGCAACCUAUUUAGACCGAUGAUAGCCCGCGGAUGGGUGUGGAAACCCAUCUAUAUUGCACCCAGUAGGACACAGAAAAAAAGCCCAGGGCCUAGGGGUCGGGUGGGGCUCGUUCGGGGUGCACAACGGUUGCGCCAAAAACGGUCCAAAAAUGGCCAAGGCUUUACCACACGAAAAAUCGGCCGAUUUUUAACCAUGUGAGAAACGUCCCGAAAGUUCACAGAUAACUACUAGGCGGCCUCACUCUGAGUAAUAUCAAAGUUUUUUCCCACAAAAAGCGCUCGGAGAUGCCCAGACUCAGUUUUUAUUUUCGUCCCAAUACUUUUCUUCCCAUGGUUUAGUUGUGUCUCUUUGAUCUUGUGCAACCUAUUUAGACCGAUGAUAGCCCGCGGAUGGGUGUGGAAACCCAUCUAUAUUGCACCCAGUAGGACACAGAAAAAAAGCCCAGGGCCUAGGGGUCGGGUGGGGCUCGUUCGGGGUGCACAACGGUUGCGCCAAAAACGGUCCAAAAAUGGCCAAGGCUUUACCACACGAAAAAUCGGCCGAUUUUUAACCAUGUGAGAAACGUCCCGAAAGUUCACAGAUAACUACUAGGCGGCCUCACUCUGAGUAAUAUCAAAGUUUUUUCCCACAAAAAGCGCUCGGAGAUGCCCAGACUCAGUUUUUAUUUUCGUCCCAAUACUUUUCUUCCCAUGGUUUAGUUGUGUCUCUUUGAUCUUGUGCAACCUAUUUAGACCGAUGAUAGCCCGCGGAUGGGUGUGGAAACCCAUCUAUAUUGCACCCAGUAGGACACAGAAAAAAAGCCCAGGGCCUAGGGGUCGGGUGGGGCUCGUUCGGGGUGCACAACGGUUGCGCCAAAAACGGUCCAAAAAUGGCCAAGGCUUUACCACACGAAAAAUCGGCCGAUUUUUAACCAUGUGAGAAACGUCCCGAAAGUUCACAGAUAACUACUAGGCGGCCUCACUCUGAGUAAUAUCAAAGUUUUUUCCCACAAAAAGCGCUCGGAGAUGCCCAGACUCAGUUUUUAUUUUCGUCCCAAUACUUUUCUUCCCAUGGUUUAGUUGUGUCUCUUUGAUCUUGUGCAACCUAUUUAGACCGAUGAUAGCCCGCGGAUGGGUGUGGAAACCCAUCUAUAUUGCACCCAGUAGGACACAGAAAAAAAGCCCAGGGCCUAGGGGUCGGGUGGGGCUCGUUCGGGGUGCACAACGGUUGCGCCAAAAACGGUCCAAAAAUGGCCAAGGCUUUACCACACGAAAAAUCGGCCGAUUUUUAACCAUGUGAGAAACGUCCCGAAAGUUCACAGAUAACUACUAGGCGGCCUCACUCUGAGUAAUAUCAAAGUUUUUUCCCACAAAAAGCGCUCGGAGAUGCCCAGACUCAGUUUUUAUUUUCGUCCCAAUACUUUUCUUCCCAUGGUUUAGUUGUGUCUCUUUGAUCUUGUGCAACCUAUUUAGACCGAUGAUAGCCCGCGGAUGGGUGUGGAAACCCAUCUAUAUUGCACCCAGUAGGACACAGAAAAAAAGCCCAGGGCCUAGGGGUCGGGUGGGGCUCGUUCGGGGUGCACAACGGUUGCGCCAAAAACGGUCCAAAAAUGGCCAAGGCUUUACCACACGAAAAAUCGGCCGAUUUUUAACCAUGUGAGAAACGUCCCGAAAGUUCACAGAUAACUACUAGGCGGCCUCACUCUGAGUAAUAUCAAAGUUUUUUCCCACAAAAAGCGCUCGGAGAUGCCCAGACUCAGUUUUUAUUUUCGUCCCAAUACUUUUCUUCCCAUGGUUUAGUUGUGUCUCUUUGAUCUUGUGCAACCUAUUUAGACCGAUGAUAGCCCGCGGAUGGGUGUGGAAACCCAUCUAUAUUGCACCCAGUAGGACACAGAAAAAAAGCCCAGGGCCUAGGGGUCGGGUGGGGCUCGUUCGGGGUGCACAACGGUUGCGCCAAAAACGGUCCAAAAAUGGCCAAGGCUUUACCACACGAAAAAUCGGCCGAUUUUUAACCAUGUGAGAAACGUCCCGAAAGUUCACAGAUAACUACUAGGCGGCCUCACUCUGAGUAAUAUCAAAGUUUUUUCCCACAAAAAGCGCUCGGAGAUGCCCAGACUCAGUUUUUAUUUUCGUCCCAAUACUUUUCUUCCCAUGGUUUAGUUGUGUCUCUUUGAUCUUGUGCAACCUAUUUAGACCGAUGAUAGCCCGCGGAUGGGUGUGGAAACCCAUCUAUAUUGCACCCAGUAGGACACAGAAAAAAAGCCCAGGGCCUAGGGGUCGGGUGGGGCUCGUUCGGGGUGCACAACGGUUGCGCCAAAAACGGUCCAAAAAUGGCCAAGGCUUUACCACACGAAAAAUCGGCCGAUUUUUAACCAUGUGAGAAACGUCCCGAAAGUUCACAGAUAACUACUAGGCGGCCUCACUCUGAGUAAUAUCAAAGUUUUUUCCCACAAAAAGCGCUCGGAGAUGCCCAGACUCAGUUUUUAUUUUCGUCCCAAUACUUUUCUUCCCAUGGUUUAGUUGUGUCUCUUUGAUCUUGUGCAACCUAUUUAGACCGAUGAUAGCCCGCGGAUGGGUGUGGAAACCCAUCUAUAUUGCACCCAGUAGGACACAGAAAAAAAGCCCAGGGCCUAGGGGUCGGGUGGGGCUCGUUCGGGGUGCACAACGGUUGCGCCAAAAACGGUCCAAAAAUGGCCAAGGCUUUACCACACGAAAAAUCGGCCGAUUUUUAACCAUGUGAGAAACGUCCCGAAAGUUCACAGAUAACUACUAGGCGGCCUCACUCUGAGUAAUAUCAAAGUUUUUUCCCACAAAAAGCGCUCGGAGAUGCCCAGACUCAGUUUUUAUUUUCGUCCCAAUACUUUUCUUCCCAUGGUUUAGUUGUGUCUCUUUGAUCUUGUGCAACCUAUUUAGACCGAUGAUAGCCCGCGGAUGGGUGUGGAAACCCAUCUAUAUUGCACCCAGUAGGACACAGAAAAAAAGCCCAGGGCCUAGGGGUCGGGUGGGGCUCGUUCGGGGUGCACAACGGUUGCGCCAAAAACGGUCCAAAAAUGGCCAAGGCUUUACCACACGAAAAAUCGGCCGAUUUUUAACCAUGUGAGAAACGUCCCGAAAGUUCACAGAUAACUACUAGGCGGCCUCACUCUGAGUAAUAUCAAAGUUUUUUCCCACAAAAAGCGCUCGGAGAUGCCCAGACUCAGUUUUUAUUUUCGUCCCAAUACUUUUCUUCCCAUGGUUUAGUUGUGUCUCUUUGAUCUUGUGCAACCUAUUUAGACCGAUGAUAGCCCGCGGAUGGGUGUGGAAACCCAUCUAUAUUGCACCCAGUAGGACACAGAAAAAAAGCCCAGGGCCUAGGGGUCGGGUGGGGCUCGUUCGGGGUGCACAACGGUUGCGCCAAAAACGGUCCAAAAAUGGCCAAGGCUUUACCACACGAAAAAUCGGCCGAUUUUUAACCAUGUGAGAAACGUCCCGAAAGUUCACAGAUAACUACUAGGCGGCCUCACUCUGAGUAAUAUCAAAGUUUUUUCCCACAAAAAGCGCUCGGAGAUGCCCAGACUCAGUUUUUAUUUUCGUCCCAAUACUUUUCUUCCCAUGGUUUAGUUGUGUCUCUUUGAUCUUGUGCAACCUAUUUAGACCGAUGAUAGCCCGCGGAUGGGUGUGGAAACCCAUCUAUAUUGCACCCAGUAGGACACAGAAAAAAAGCCCAGGGCCUAGGGGUCGGGUGGGGCUCGUUCGGGGUGCACAACGGUUGCGCCAAAAACGGUCCAAAAAUGGCCAAGGCUUUACCACACGAAAAAUCGGCCGAUUUUUAACCAUGUGAGAAACGUCCCGAAAGUUCACAGAUAACUACUAGGCGGCCUCACUCUGAGUAAUAUCAAAGUUUUUUCCCACAAAAAGCGCUCGGAGAUGCCCAGACUCAGUUUUUAUUUUCGUCCCAAUACUUUUCUUCCCAUGGUUUAGUUGUGUCUCUUUGAUCUUGUGCAACCUAUUUAGACCGAUGAUAGCCCGCGGAUGGGUGUGGAAACCCAUCUAUAUUGCACCCAGUAGGACACAGAAAAAAAGCCCAGGGCCUAGGGGUCGGGUGGGGCUCGUUCGGGGUGCACAACGGUUGCGCCAAAAACGGUCCAAAAAUGGCCAAGGCUUUACCACACGAAAAAUCGGCCGAUUUUUAACCAUGUGAGAAACGUCCCGAAAGUUCACAGAUAACUACUAGGCGGCCUCACUCUGAGUAAUAUCAAAGUUUUUUCCCACAAAAAGCGCUCGGAGAUGCCCAGACUCAGUUUUUAUUUUCGUCCCAAUACUUUUCUUCCCAUGGUUUAGUUGUGUCUCUUUGAUCUUGUGCAACCUAUUUAGACCGAUGAUAGCCCGCGGAUGGGUGUGGAAACCCAUCUAUAUUGCACCCAGUAGGACACAGAAAAAAAGCCCAGGGCCUAGGGGUCGGGUGGGGCUCGUUCGGGGUGCACAACGGUUGCGCCAAAAACGGUCCAAAAAUGGCCAAGGCUUUACCACACGAAAAAUCGGCCGAUUUUUAACCAUGUGAGAAACGUCCCGAAAGUUCACAGAUAACUACUAGGCGGCCUCACUCUGAGUAAUAUCAAAGUUUUUUCCCACAAAAAGCGCUCGGAGAUGCCCAGACUCAGUUUUUAUUUUCGUCCCAAUACUUUUCUUCCCAUGGUUUAGUUGUGUCUCUUUGAUCUUGUGCAACCUAUUUAGACCGAUGAUAGCCCGCGGAUGGGUGUGGAAACCCAUCUAUAUUGCACCCAGUAGGACACAGAAAAAAAGCCCAGGGCCUAGGGGUCGGGUGGGGCUCGUUCGGGGUGCACAACGGUUGCGCCAAAAACGGUCCAAAAAUGGCCAAGGCUUUACCACACGAAAAAUCGGCCGAUUUUUAACCAUGUGAGAAACGUCCCGAAAGUUCACAGAUAACUACUAGGCGGCCUCACUCUGAGUAAUAUCAAAGUUUUUUCCCACAAAAAGCGCUCGGAGAUGCCCAGACUCAGUUUUUAUUUUCGUCCCAAUACUUUUCUUCCCAUGGUUUAGUUGUGUCUCUUUGAUCUUGUGCAACCUAUUUAGACCGAUGAUAGCCCGCGGAUGGGUGUGGAAACCCAUCUAUAUUGCACCCAGUAGGACACAGAAAAAAAGCCCAGGGCCUAGGGGUCGGGUGGGGCUCGUUCGGGGUGCACAACGGUUGCGCCAAAAACGGUCCAAAAAUGGCCAAGGCUUUACCACACGAAAAAUCGGCCGAUUUUUAACCAUGUGAGAAACGUCCCGAAAGUUCACAGAUAACUACUAGGCGGCCUCACUCUGAGUAAUAUCAAAGUUUUUUCCCACAAAAAGCGCUCGGAGAUGCCCAGACUCAGUUUUUAUUUUCGUCCCAAUACUUUUCUUCCCAUGGUUUAGUUGUGUCUCUUUGAUCUUGUGCAACCUAUUUAGACCGAUGAUAGCCCGCGGAUGGGUGUGGAAACCCAUCUAUAUUGCACCCAGUAGGACACAGAAAAAAAGCCCAGGGCCUAGGGGUCGGGUGGGGCUCGUUCGGGGUGCACAACGGUUGCGCCAAAAACGGUCCAAAAAUGGCCAAGGCUUUACCACACGAAAAAUCGGCCGAUUUUUAACCAUGUGAGAAACGUCCCGAAAGUUCACAGAUAACUACUAGGCGGCCUCACUCUGAGUAAUAUCAAAGUUUUUUCCCACAAAAAGCGCUCGGAGAUGCCCAGACUCAGUUUUUAUUUUCGUCCCAAUACUUUUCUUCCCAUGGUUUAGUUGUGUCUCUUUGAUCUUGUGCAACCUAUUUAGACCGAUGAUAGCCCGCGGAUGGGUGUGGAAACCCAUCUAUAUUGCACCCAGUAGGACACAGAAAAAAAGCCCAGGGCCUAGGGGUCGGGUGGGGCUCGUUCGGGGUGCACAACGGUUGCGCCAAAAACGGUCCAAAAAUGGCCAAGGCUUUACCACACGAAAAAUCGGCCGAUUUUUAACCAUGUGAGAAACGUCCCGAAAGUUCACAGAUAACUACUAGGCGGCCUCACUCUGAGUAAUAUCAAAGUUUUUUCCCACAAAAAGCGCUCGGAGAUGCCCAGACUCAGUUUUUAUUUUCGUCCCAAUACUUUUCUUCCCAUGGUUUAGUUGUGUCUCUUUGAUCUUGUGCAACCUAUUUAGACCGAUGAUAGCCCGCGGAUGGGUGUGGAAACCCAUCUAUAUUGCACCCAGUAGGACACAGAAAAAAAGCCCAGGGCCUAGGGGUCGGGUGGGGCUCGUUCGGGGUGCACAACGGUUGCGCCAAAAACGGUCCAAAAAUGGCCAAGGCUUUACCACACGAAAAAUCGGCCGAUUUUUAACCAUGUGAGAAACGUCCCGAAAGUUCACAGAUAACUACUAGGCGGCCUCACUCUGAGUAAUAUCAAAGUUUUUUCCCACAAAAAGCGCUCGGAGAUGCCCAGACUCAGUUUUUAUUUUCGUCCCAAUACUUUUCUUCCCAUGGUUUAGUUGUGUCUCUUUGAUCUUGUGCAACCUAUUUAGACCGAUGAUAGCCCGCGGAUGGGUGUGGAAACCCAUCUAUAUUGCACCCAGUAGGACACAGAAAAAAAGCCCAGGGCCUAGGGGUCGGGUGGGGCUCGUUCGGGGUGCACAACGGUUGCGCCAAAAACGGUCCAAAAAUGGCCAAGGCUUUACCACACGAAAAAUCGGCCGAUUUUUAACCAUGUGAGAAACGUCCCGAAAGUUCACAGAUAACUACUAGGCGGCCUCACUCUGAGUAAUAUCAAAGUUUUUUCCCACAAAAAGCGCUCGGAGAUGCCCAGACUCAGUUUUUAUUUUCGUCCCAAUACUUUUCUUCCCAUGGUUUAGUUGUGUCUCUUUGAUCUUGUGCAACCUAUUUAGACCGAUGAUAGCCCGCGGAUGGGUGUGGAAACCCAUCUAUAUUGCACCCAGUAGGACACAGAAAAAAAGCCCAGGGCCUAGGGGUCGGGUGGGGCUCGUUCGGGGUGCACAACGGUUGCGCCAAAAACGGUCCAAAAAUGGCCAAGGCUUUACCACACGAAAAAUCGGCCGAUUUUUAACCAUGUGAGAAACGUCCCGAAAGUUCACAGAUAACUACUAGGCGGCCUCACUCUGAGUAAUAUCAAAGUUUUUUCCCACAAAAAGCGCUCGGAGAUGCCCAGACUCAGUUUUUAUUUUCGUCCCAAUACUUUUCUUCCCAUGGUUUAGUUGUGUCUCUUUGAUCUUGUGCAACCUAUUUAGACCGAUGAUAGCCCGCGGAUGGGUGUGGAAACCCAUCUAUAUUGCACCCAGUAGGACACAGAAAAAAAGCCCAGGGCCUAGGGGUCGGGUGGGGCUCGUUCGGGGUGCACAACGGUUGCGCCAAAAACGGUCCAAAAAUGGCCAAGGCUUUACCACACGAAAAAUCGGCCGAUUUUUAACCAUGUGAGAAACGUCCCGAAAGUUCACAGAUAACUACUAGGCGGCCUCACUCUGAGUAAUAUCAAAGUUUUUUCCCACAAAAAGCGCUCGGAGAUGCCCAGACUCAGUUUUUAUUUUCGUCCCAAUACUUUUCUUCCCAUGGUUUAGUUGUGUCUCUUUGAUCUUGUGCAACCUAUUUAGACCGAUGAUAGCCCGCGGAUGGGUGUGGAAACCCAUCUAUAUUGCACCCAGUAGGACACAGAAAAAAAGCCCAGGGCCUAGGGGUCGGGUGGGGCUCGUUCGGGGUGCACAACGGUUGCGCCAAAAACGGUCCAAAAAUGGCCAAGGCUUUACCACACGAAAAAUCGGCCGAUUUUUAACCAUGUGAGAAACGUCCCGAAAGUUCACAGAUAACUACUAGGCGGCCUCACUCUGAGUAAUAUCAAAGUUUUUUCCCACAAAAAGCGCUCGGAGAUGCCCAGACUCAGUUUUUAUUUUCGUCCCAAUACUUUUCUUCCCAUGGUUUAGUUGUGUCUCUUUGAUCUUGUGCAACCUAUUUAGACCGAUGAUAGCCCGCGGAUGGGUGUGGAAACCCAUCUAUAUUGCACCCAGUAGGACACAGAAAAAAAGCCCAGGGCCUAGGGGUCGGGUGGGGCUCGUUCGGGGUGCACAACGGUUGCGCCAAAAACGGUCCAAAAAUGGCCAAGGCUUUACCACACGAAAAAUCGGCCGAUUUUUAACCAUGUGAGAAACGUCCCGAAAGUUCACAGAUAACUACUAGGCGGCCUCACUCUGAGUAAUAUCAAAGUUUUUUCCCACAAAAAGCGCUCGGAGAUGCCCAGACUCAGUUUUUAUUUUCGUCCCAAUACUUUUCUUCCCAUGGUUUAGUUGUGUCUCUUUGAUCUUGUGCAACCUAUUUAGACCGAUGAUAGCCCGCGGAUGGGUGUGGAAACCCAUCUAUAUUGCACCCAGUAGGACACAGAAAAAAAGCCCAGGGCCUAGGGGUCGGGUGGGGCUCGUUCGGGGUGCACAACGGUUGCGCCAAAAACGGUCCAAAAAUGGCCAAGGCUUUACCACACGAAAAAUCGGCCGAUUUUUAACCAUGUGAGAAACGUCCCGAAAGUUCACAGAUAACUACUAGGCGGCCUCACUCUGAGUAAUAUCAAAGUUUUUUCCCACAAAAAGCGCUCGGAGAUGCCCAGACUCAGUUUUUAUUUUCGUCCCAAUACUUUUCUUCCCAUGGUUUAGUUGUGUCUCUUUGAUCUUGUGCAACCUAUUUAGACCGAUGAUAGCCCGCGGAUGGGUGUGGAAACCCAUCUAUAUUGCACCCAGUAGGACACAGAAAAAAAGCCCAGGGCCUAGGGGUCGGGUGGGGCUCGUUCGGGGUGCACAACGGUUGCGCCAAAAACGGUCCAAAAAUGGCCAAGGCUUUACCACACGAAAAAUCGGCCGAUUUUUAACCAUGUGAGAAACGUCCCGAAAGUUCACAGAUAACUACUAGGCGGCCUCACUCUGAGUAAUAUCAAAGUUUUUUCCCACAAAAAGCGCUCGGAGAUGCCCAGACUCAGUUUUUAUUUUCGUCCCAAUACUUUUCUUCCCAUGGUUUAGUUGUGUCUCUUUGAUCUUGUGCAACCUAUUUAGACCGAUGAUAGCCCGCGGAUGGGUGUGGAAACCCAUCUAUAUUGCACCCAGUAGGACACAGAAAAAAAGCCCAGGGCCUAGGGGUCGGGUGGGGCUCGUUCGGGGUGCACAACGGUUGCGCCAAAAACGGUCCAAAAAUGGCCAAGGCUUUACCACACGAAAAAUCGGCCGAUUUUUAACCAUGUGAGAAACGUCCCGAAAGUUCACAGAUAACUACUAGGCGGCCUCACUCUGAGUAAUAUCAAAGUUUUUUCCCACAAAAAGCGCUCGGAGAUGCCCAGACUCAGUUUUUAUUUUCGUCCCAAUACUUUUCUUCCCAUGGUUUAGUUGUGUCUCUUUGAUCUUGUGCAACCUAUUUAGACCGAUGAUAGCCCGCGGAUGGGUGUGGAAACCCAUCUAUAUUGCACCCAGUAGGACACAGAAAAAAAGCCCAGGGCCUAGGGGUCGGGUGGGGCUCGUUCGGGGUGCACAACGGUUGCGCCAAAAACGGUCCAAAAAUGGCCAAGGCUUUACCACACGAAAAAUCGGCCGAUUUUUAACCAUGUGAGAAACGUCCCGAAAGUUCACAGAUAACUACUAGGCGGCCUCACUCUGAGUAAUAUCAAAGUUUUUUCCCACAAAAAGCGCUCGGAGAUGCCCAGACUCAGUUUUUAUUUUCGUCCCAAUACUUUUCUUCCCAUGGUUUAGUUGUGUCUCUUUGAUCUUGUGCAACCUAUUUAGACCGAUGAUAGCCCGCGGAUGGGUGUGGAAACCCAUCUAUAUUGCACCCAGUAGGACACAGAAAAAAAGCCCAGGGCCUAGGGGUCGGGUGGGGCUCGUUCGGGGUGCACAACGGUUGCGCCAAAAACGGUCCAAAAAUGGCCAAGGCUUUACCACACGAAAAAUCGGCCGAUUUUUAACCAUGUGAGAAACGUCCCGAAAGUUCACAGAUAACUACUAGGCGGCCUCACUCUGAGUAAUAUCAAAGUUUUUUCCCACAAAAAGCGCUCGGAGAUGCCCAGACUCAGUUUUUAUUUUCGUCCCAAUACUUUUCUUCCCAUGGUUUAGUUGUGUCUCUUUGAUCUUGUGCAACCUAUUUAGACCGAUGAUAGCCCGCGGAUGGGUGUGGAAACCCAUCUAUAUUGCACCCAGUAGGACACAGAAAAAAAGCCCAGGGCCUAGGGGUCGGGUGGGGCUCGUUCGGGGUGCACAACGGUUGCGCCAAAAACGGUCCAAAAAUGGCCAAGGCUUUACCACACGAAAAAUCGGCCGAUUUUUAACCAUGUGAGAAACGUCCCGAAAGUUCACAGAUAACUACUAGGCGGCCUCACUCUGAGUAAUAUCAAAGUUUUUUCCCACAAAAAGCGCUCGGAGAUGCCCAGACUCAGUUUUUAUUUUCGUCCCAAUACUUUUCUUCCCAUGGUUUAGUUGUGUCUCUUUGAUCUUGUGCAACCUAUUUAGACCGAUGAUAGCCCGCGGAUGGGUGUGGAAACCCAUCUAUAUUGCACCCAGUAGGACACAGAAAAAAAGCCCAGGGCCUAGGGGUCGGGUGGGGCUCGUUCGGGGUGCACAACGGUUGCGCCAAAAACGGUCCAAAAAUGGCCAAGGCUUUACCACACGAAAAAUCGGCCGAUUUUUAACCAUGUGAGAAACGUCCCGAAAGUUCACAGAUAACUACUAGGCGGCCUCACUCUGAGUAAUAUCAAAGUUUUUUCCCACAAAAAGCGCUCGGAGAUGCCCAGACUCAGUUUUUAUUUUCGUCCCAAUACUUUUCUUCCCAUGGUUUAGUUGUGUCUCUUUGAUCUUGUGCAACCUAUUUAGACCGAUGAUAGCCCGCGGAUGGGUGUGGAAACCCAUCUAUAUUGCACCCAGUAGGACACAGAAAAAAAGCCCAGGGCCUAGGGGUCGGGUGGGGCUCGUUCGGGGUGCACAACGGUUGCGCCAAAAACGGUCCAAAAAUGGCCAAGGCUUUACCACACGAAAAAUCGGCCGAUUUUUAACCAUGUGAGAAACGUCCCGAAAGUUCACAGAUAACUACUAGGCGGCCUCACUCUGAGUAAUAUCAAAGUUUUUUCCCACAAAAAGCGCUCGGAGAUGCCCAGACUCAGUUUUUAUUUUCGUCCCAAUACUUUUCUUCCCAUGGUUUAGUUGUGUCUCUUUGAUCUUGUGCAACCUAUUUAGACCGAUGAUAGCCCGCGGAUGGGUGUGGAAACCCAUCUAUAUUGCACCCAGUAGGACACAGAAAAAAAGCCCAGGGCCUAGGGGUCGGGUGGGGCUCGUUCGGGGUGCACAACGGUUGCGCCAAAAACGGUCCAAAAAUGGCCAAGGCUUUACCACACGAAAAAUCGGCCGAUUUUUAACCAUGUGAGAAACGUCCCGAAAGUUCACAGAUAACUACUAGGCGGCCUCACUCUGAGUAAUAUCAAAGUUUUUUCCCACAAAAAGCGCUCGGAGAUGCCCAGACUCAGUUUUUAUUUUCGUCCCAAUACUUUUCUUCCCAUGGUUUAGUUGUGUCUCUUUGAUCUUGUGCAACCUAUUUAGACCGAUGAUAGCCCGCGGAUGGGUGUGGAAACCCAUCUAUAUUGCACCCAGUAGGACACAGAAAAAAAGCCCAGGGCCUAGGGGUCGGGUGGGGCUCGUUCGGGGUGCACAACGGUUGCGCCAAAAACGGUCCAAAAAUGGCCAAGGCUUUACCACACGAAAAAUCGGCCGAUUUUUAACCAUGUGAGAAACGUCCCGAAAGUUCACAGAUAACUACUAGGCGGCCUCACUCUGAGUAAUAUCAAAGUUUUUUCCCACAAAAAGCGCUCGGAGAUGCCCAGACUCAGUUUUUAUUUUCGUCCCAAUACUUUUCUUCCCAUGGUUUAGUUGUGUCUCUUUGAUCUUGUGCAACCUAUUUAGACCGAUGAUAGCCCGCGGAUGGGUGUGGAAACCCAUCUAUAUUGCACCCAGUAGGACACAGAAAAAAAGCCCAGGGCCUAGGGGUCGGGUGGGGCUCGUUCGGGGUGCACAACGGUUGCGCCAAAAACGGUCCAAAAAUGGCCAAGGCUUUACCACACGAAAAAUCGGCCGAUUUUUAACCAUGUGAGAAACGUCCCGAAAGUUCACAGAUAACUACUAGGCGGCCUCACUCUGAGUAAUAUCAAAGUUUUUUCCCACAAAAAGCGCUCGGAGAUGCCCAGACUCAGUUUUUAUUUUCGUCCCAAUACUUUUCUUCCCAUGGUUUAGUUGUGUCUCUUUGAUCUUGUGCAACCUAUUUAGACCGAUGAUAGCCCGCGGAUGGGUGUGGAAACCCAUCUAUAUUGCACCCAGUAGGACACAGAAAAAAAGCCCAGGGCCUAGGGGUCGGGUGGGGCUCGUUCGGGGUGCACAACGGUUGCGCCAAAAACGGUCCAAAAAUGGCCAAGGCUUUACCACACGAAAAAUCGGCCGAUUUUUAACCAUGUGAGAAACGUCCCGAAAGUUCACAGAUAACUACUAGGCGGCCUCACUCUGAGUAAUAUCAAAGUUUUUUCCCACAAAAAGCGCUCGGAGAUGCCCAGACUCAGUUUUUAUUUUCGUCCCAAUACUUUUCUUCCCAUGGUUUAGUUGUGUCUCUUUGAUCUUGUGCAACCUAUUUAGACCGAUGAUAGCCCGCGGAUGGGUGUGGAAACCCAUCUAUAUUGCACCCAGUAGGACACAGAAAAAAAGCCCAGGGCCUAGGGGUCGGGUGGGGCUCGUUCGGGGUGCACAACGGUUGCGCCAAAAACGGUCCAAAAAUGGCCAAGGCUUUACCACACGAAAAAUCGGCCGAUUUUUAACCAUGUGAGAAACGUCCCGAAAGUUCACAGAUAACUACUAGGCGGCCUCACUCUGAGUAAUAUCAAAGUUUUUUCCCACAAAAAGCGCUCGGAGAUGCCCAGACUCAGUUUUUAUUUUCGUCCCAAUACUUUUCUUCCCAUGGUUUAGUUGUGUCUCUUUGAUCUUGUGCAACCUAUUUAGACCGAUGAUAGCCCGCGGAUGGGUGUGGAAACCCAUCUAUAUUGCACCCAGUAGGACACAGAAAAAAAGCCCAGGGCCUAGGGGUCGGGUGGGGCUCGUUCGGGGUGCACAACGGUUGCGCCAAAAACGGUCCAAAAAUGGCCAAGGCUUUACCACACGAAAAAUCGGCCGAUUUUUAACCAUGUGAGAAACGUCCCGAAAGUUCACAGAUAACUACUAGGCGGCCUCACUCUGAGUAAUAUCAAAGUUUUUUCCCACAAAAAGCGCUCGGAGAUGCCCAGACUCAGUUUUUAUUUUCGUCCCAAUACUUUUCUUCCCAUGGUUUAGUUGUGUCUCUUUGAUCUUGUGCAACCUAUUUAGACCGAUGAUAGCCCGCGGAUGGGUGUGGAAACCCAUCUAUAUUGCACCCAGUAGGACACAGAAAAAAAGCCCAGGGCCUAGGGGUCGGGUGGGGCUCGUUCGGGGUGCACAACGGUUGCGCCAAAAACGGUCCAAAAAUGGCCAAGGCUUUACCACACGAAAAAUCGGCCGAUUUUUAACCAUGUGAGAAACGUCCCGAAAGUUCACAGAUAACUACUAGGCGGCCUCACUCUGAGUAAUAUCAAAGUUUUUUCCCACAAAAAGCGCUCGGAGAUGCCCAGACUCAGUUUUUAUUUUCGUCCCAAUACUUUUCUUCCCAUGGUUUAGUUGUGUCUCUUUGAUCUUGUGCAACCUAUUUAGACCGAUGAUAGCCCGCGGAUGGGUGUGGAAACCCAUCUAUAUUGCACCCAGUAGGACACAGAAAAAAAGCCCAGGGCCUAGGGGUCGGGUGGGGCUCGUUCGGGGUGCACAACGGUUGCGCCAAAAACGGUCCAAAAAUGGCCAAGGCUUUACCACACGAAAAAUCGGCCGAUUUUUAACCAUGUGAGAAACGUCCCGAAAGUUCACAGAUAACUACUAGGCGGCCUCACUCUGAGUAAUAUCAAAGUUUUUUCCCACAAAAAGCGCUCGGAGAUGCCCAGACUCAGUUUUUAUUUUCGUCCCAAUACUUUUCUUCCCAUGGUUUAGUUGUGUCUCUUUGAUCUUGUGCAACCUAUUUAGACCGAUGAUAGCCCGCGGAUGGGUGUGGAAACCCAUCUAUAUUGCACCCAGUAGGACACAGAAAAAAAGCCCAGGGCCUAGGGGUCGGGUGGGGCUCGUUCGGGGUGCACAACGGUUGCGCCAAAAACGGUCCAAAAAUGGCCAAGGCUUUACCACACGAAAAAUCGGCCGAUUUUUAACCAUGUGAGAAACGUCCCGAAAGUUCACAGAUAACUACUAGGCGGCCUCACUCUGAGUAAUAUCAAAGUUUUUUCCCACAAAAAGCGCUCGGAGAUGCCCAGACUCAGUUUUUAUUUUCGUCCCAAUACUUUUCUUCCCAUGGUUUAGUUGUGUCUCUUUGAUCUUGUGCAACCUAUUUAGACCGAUGAUAGCCCGCGGAUGGGUGUGGAAACCCAUCUAUAUUGCACCCAGUAGGACACAGAAAAAAAGCCCAGGGCCUAGGGGUCGGGUGGGGCUCGUUCGGGGUGCACAACGGUUGCGCCAAAAACGGUCCAAAAAUGGCCAAGGCUUUACCACACGAAAAAUCGGCCGAUUUUUAACCAUGUGAGAAACGUCCCGAAAGUUCACAGAUAACUACUAGGCGGCCUCACUCUGAGUAAUAUCAAAGUUUUUUCCCACAAAAAGCGCUCGGAGAUGCCCAGACUCAGUUUUUAUUUUCGUCCCAAUACUUUUCUUCCCAUGGUUUAGUUGUGUCUCUUUGAUCUUGUGCAACCUAUUUAGACCGAUGAUAGCCCGCGGAUGGGUGUGGAAACCCAUCUAUAUUGCACCCAGUAGGACACAGAAAAAAAGCCCAGGGCCUAGGGGUCGGGUGGGGCUCGUUCGGGGUGCACAACGGUUGCGCCAAAAACGGUCCAAAAAUGGCCAAGGCUUUACCACACGAAAAAUCGGCCGAUUUUUAACCAUGUGAGAAACGUCCCGAAAGUUCACAGAUAACUACUAGGCGGCCUCACUCUGAGUAAUAUCAAAGUUUUUUCCCACAAAAAGCGCUCGGAGAUGCCCAGACUCAGUUUUUAUUUUCGUCCCAAUACUUUUCUUCCCAUGGUUUAGUUGUGUCUCUUUGAUCUUGUGCAACCUAUUUAGACCGAUGAUAGCCCGCGGAUGGGUGUGGAAACCCAUCUAUAUUGCACCCAGUAGGACACAGAAAAAAAGCCCAGGGCCUAGGGGUCGGGUGGGGCUCGUUCGGGGUGCACAACGGUUGCGCCAAAAACGGUCCAAAAAUGGCCAAGGCUUUACCACACGAAAAAUCGGCCGAUUUUUAACCAUGUGAGAAACGUCCCGAAAGUUCACAGAUAACUACUAGGCGGCCUCACUCUGAGUAAUAUCAAAGUUUUUUCCCACAAAAAGCGCUCGGAGAUGCCCAGACUCAGUUUUUAUUUUCGUCCCAAUACUUUUCUUCCCAUGGUUUAGUUGUGUCUCUUUGAUCUUGUGCAACCUAUUUAGACCGAUGAUAGCCCGCGGAUGGGUGUGGAAACCCAUCUAUAUUGCACCCAGUAGGACACAGAAAAAAAGCCCAGGGCCUAGGGGUCGGGUGGGGCUCGUUCGGGGUGCACAACGGUUGCGCCAAAAACGGUCCAAAAAUGGCCAAGGCUUUACCACACGAAAAAUCGGCCGAUUUUUAACCAUGUGAGAAACGUCCCGAAAGUUCACAGAUAACUACUAGGCGGCCUCACUCUGAGUAAUAUCAAAGUUUUUUCCCACAAAAAGCGCUCGGAGAUGCCCAGACUCAGUUUUUAUUUUCGUCCCAAUACUUUUCUUCCCAUGGUUUAGUUGUGUCUCUUUGAUCUUGUGCAACCUAUUUAGACCGAUGAUAGCCCGCGGAUGGGUGUGGAAACCCAUCUAUAUUGCACCCAGUAGGACACAGAAAAAAAGCCCAGGGCCUAGGGGUCGGGUGGGGCUCGUUCGGGGUGCACAACGGUUGCGCCAAAAACGGUCCAAAAAUGGCCAAGGCUUUACCACACGAAAAAUCGGCCGAUUUUUAACCAUGUGAGAAACGUCCCGAAAGUUCACAGAUAACUACUAGGCGGCCUCACUCUGAGUAAUAUCAAAGUUUUUUCCCACAAAAAGCGCUCGGAGAUGCCCAGACUCAGUUUUUAUUUUCGUCCCAAUACUUUUCUUCCCAUGGUUUAGUUGUGUCUCUUUGAUCUUGUGCAACCUAUUUAGACCGAUGAUAGCCCGCGGAUGGGUGUGGAAACCCAUCUAUAUUGCACCCAGUAGGACACAGAAAAAAAGCCCAGGGCCUAGGGGUCGGGUGGGGCUCGUUCGGGGUGCACAACGGUUGCGCCAAAAACGGUCCAAAAAUGGCCAAGGCUUUACCACACGAAAAAUCGGCCGAUUUUUAACCAUGUGAGAAACGUCCCGAAAGUUCACAGAUAACUACUAGGCGGCCUCACUCUGAGUAAUAUCAAAGUUUUUUCCCACAAAAAGCGCUCGGAGAUGCCCAGACUCAGUUUUUAUUUUCGUCCCAAUACUUUUCUUCCCAUGGUUUAGUUGUGUCUCUUUGAUCUUGUGCAACCUAUUUAGACCGAUGAUAGCCCGCGGAUGGGUGUGGAAACCCAUCUAUAUUGCACCCAGUAGGACACAGAAAAAAAGCCCAGGGCCUAGGGGUCGGGUGGGGCUCGUUCGGGGUGCACAACGGUUGCGCCAAAAACGGUCCAAAAAUGGCCAAGGCUUUACCACACGAAAAAUCGGCCGAUUUUUAACCAUGUGAGAAACGUCCCGAAAGUUCACAGAUAACUACUAGGCGGCCUCACUCUGAGUAAUAUCAAAGUUUUUUCCCACAAAAAGCGCUCGGAGAUGCCCAGACUCAGUUUUUAUUUUCGUCCCAAUACUUUUCUUCCCAUGGUUUAGUUGUGUCUCUUUGAUCUUGUGCAACCUAUUUAGACCGAUGAUAGCCCGCGGAUGGGUGUGGAAACCCAUCUAUAUUGCACCCAGUAGGACACAGAAAAAAAGCCCAGGGCCUAGGGGUCGGGUGGGGCUCGUUCGGGGUGCACAACGGUUGCGCCAAAAACGGUCCAAAAAUGGCCAAGGCUUUACCACACGAAAAAUCGGCCGAUUUUUAACCAUGUGAGAAACGUCCCGAAAGUUCACAGAUAACUACUAGGCGGCCUCACUCUGAGUAAUAUCAAAGUUUUUUCCCACAAAAAGCGCUCGGAGAUGCCCAGACUCAGUUUUUAUUUUCGUCCCAAUACUUUUCUUCCCAUGGUUUAGUUGUGUCUCUUUGAUCUUGUGCAACCUAUUUAGACCGAUGAUAGCCCGCGGAUGGGUGUGGAAACCCAUCUAUAUUGCACCCAGUAGGACACAGAAAAAAAGCCCAGGGCCUAGGGGUCGGGUGGGGCUCGUUCGGGGUGCACAACGGUUGCGCCAAAAACGGUCCAAAAAUGGCCAAGGCUUUACCACACGAAAAAUCGGCCGAUUUUUAACCAUGUGAGAAACGUCCCGAAAGUUCACAGAUAACUACUAGGCGGCCUCACUCUGAGUAAUAUCAAAGUUUUUUCCCACAAAAAGCGCUCGGAGAUGCCCAGACUCAGUUUUUAUUUUCGUCCCAAUACUUUUCUUCCCAUGGUUUAGUUGUGUCUCUUUGAUCUUGUGCAACCUAUUUAGACCGAUGAUAGCCCGCGGAUGGGUGUGGAAACCCAUCUAUAUUGCACCCAGUAGGACACAGAAAAAAAGCCCAGGGCCUAGGGGUCGGGUGGGGCUCGUUCGGGGUGCACAACGGUUGCGCCAAAAACGGUCCAAAAAUGGCCAAGGCUUUACCACACGAAAAAUCGGCCGAUUUUUAACCAUGUGAGAAACGUCCCGAAAGUUCACAGAUAACUACUAGGCGGCCUCACUCUGAGUAAUAUCAAAGUUUUUUCCCACAAAAAGCGCUCGGAGAUGCCCAGACUCAGUUUUUAUUUUCGUCCCAAUACUUUUCUUCCCAUGGUUUAGUUGUGUCUCUUUGAUCUUGUGCAACCUAUUUAGACCGAUGAUAGCCCGCGGAUGGGUGUGGAAACCCAUCUAUAUUGCACCCAGUAGGACACAGAAAAAAAGCCCAGGGCCUAGGGGUCGGGUGGGGCUCGUUCGGGGUGCACAACGGUUGCGCCAAAAACGGUCCAAAAAUGGCCAAGGCUUUACCACACGAAAAAUCGGCCGAUUUUUAACCAUGUGAGAAACGUCCCGAAAGUUCACAGAUAACUACUAGGCGGCCUCACUCUGAGUAAUAUCAAAGUUUUUUCCCACAAAAAGCGCUCGGAGAUGCCCAGACUCAGUUUUUAUUUUCGUCCCAAUACUUUUCUUCCCAUGGUUUAGUUGUGUCUCUUUGAUCUUGUGCAACCUAUUUAGACCGAUGAUAGCCCGCGGAUGGGUGUGGAAACCCAUCUAUAUUGCACCCAGUAGGACACAGAAAAAAAGCCCAGGGCCUAGGGGUCGGGUGGGGCUCGUUCGGGGUGCACAACGGUUGCGCCAAAAACGGUCCAAAAAUGGCCAAGGCUUUACCACACGAAAAAUCGGCCGAUUUUUAACCAUGUGAGAAACGUCCCGAAAGUUCACAGAUAACUACUAGGCGGCCUCACUCUGAGUAAUAUCAAAGUUUUUUCCCACAAAAAGCGCUCGGAGAUGCCCAGACUCAGUUUUUAUUUUCGUCCCAAUACUUUUCUUCCCAUGGUUUAGUUGUGUCUCUUUGAUCUUGUGCAACCUAUUUAGACCGAUGAUAGCCCGCGGAUGGGUGUGGAAACCCAUCUAUAUUGCACCCAGUAGGACACAGAAAAAAAGCCCAGGGCCUAGGGGUCGGGUGGGGCUCGUUCGGGGUGCACAACGGUUGCGCCAAAAACGGUCCAAAAAUGGCCAAGGCUUUACCACACGAAAAAUCGGCCGAUUUUUAACCAUGUGAGAAACGUCCCGAAAGUUCACAGAUAACUACUAGGCGGCCUCACUCUGAGUAAUAUCAAAGUUUUUUCCCACAAAAAGCGCUCGGAGAUGCCCAGACUCAGUUUUUAUUUUCGUCCCAAUACUUUUCUUCCCAUGGUUUAGUUGUGUCUCUUUGAUCUUGUGCAACCUAUUUAGACCGAUGAUAGCCCGCGGAUGGGUGUGGAAACCCAUCUAUAUUGCACCCAGUAGGACACAGAAAAAAAGCCCAGGGCCUAGGGGUCGGGUGGGGCUCGUUCGGGGUGCACAACGGUUGCGCCAAAAACGGUCCAAAAAUGGCCAAGGCUUUACCACACGAAAAAUCGGCCGAUUUUUAACCAUGUGAGAAACGUCCCGAAAGUUCACAGAUAACUACUAGGCGGCCUCACUCUGAGUAAUAUCAAAGUUUUUUCCCACAAAAAGCGCUCGGAGAUGCCCAGACUCAGUUUUUAUUUUCGUCCCAAUACUUUUCUUCCCAUGGUUUAGUUGUGUUUCUUUGAUCUUGUGCAACCUAUUUAGACCGAUGAUAGCCCGCGGAUGGGUGUGGAAACCCAUCUAUAUUGCACCCAGUAGGACACAGAAAAAAAGCCCAGGGCCUAGGGGUCGGGUGGGGCUCGUUCGGGGUGCACAACGGUUGCGCCAAAAACGGUCCAAAAAUGGCCAAGGCUUUACCACACGAAAAAUCGGCCGAUUUUUAACCAUGUGAGAAACGUCCCGAAAGUUCACAGAUAACUACUAGGCGGCCUCACUCUGAGUAAUAUCAAAGUUUUUUCCCACAAAAAGCGCUCGGAGAUGCCCAGACUCAGUUUUUAUUUUCGUCCCAAUACUUUUCUUCCCAUGGUUUAGUUGUGUUUCUUUGAUCUUGUGCAACCUAUUUAGACCGAUGAUAGCCCGCGGAUGGGUGUGGAAACCCAUCUAUAUUGCACCCAGUAGGACACAGAAAAAAAGCCCAGGGCCUAGGGGUCGGGUGGGGCUCGUUCGGGGUGCACAACGGUUGCGCCAAAAACGGUCCAAAAAUGGCCAAGGCUUUACCACACGAAAAAUCGGCCGAUUUUUAACCAUGUGAGAAACGUCCCGAAAGUUCACAGAUAACUACUAGGCGGCCUCACUCUGAGUAAUAUCAAAGUUUUUUCCCACAAAAAGCGCUCGGAGAUGCCCAGACUCAGUUUUUAUUUUCGUCCCAAUACUUUUCUUCCCAUGGUUUAGUUGUGUUUCUUUGAUCUUGUGCAACCUAUUUAGACCGAUGAUAGCCCGCGGAUAGGUGUGGAAACCCAUCUAUAUUGCACCCAGUAGGACACAGAAAAAAAGCCCAGGGCCUAGGGGUCGGGUGGGGCUCGUUCGGGGUGCACAACGGUUGCGCCAAAAACGGUCCAAAAAUGGCCAAGGCUUUACCACACGAAAAAUCGGCCGAUUUUUAACCAUGUGAGAAACGUCCCGAAAGUUCACAGAUAACUACUAGGCGGCCUCACUCUGAGUAAUAUCAAAGUUUUUUCCCACAAAAAGCGCUCGGAGAUGCCCAGACUCAGUUUUUAUUUUCGUCCCAAUACUUUUCUUCCCAUGGUUUAGUUGUGUUUCUUUGAUCUUGUGCAACCUAUUUAGACCGAUGAUAGCCCGCGGAUAGGUGUGGAAACCCAUCUAUAUUGCACCCAGUAUGACACAGAAAAAAAGCCCAGGGCCUAGGGGUCGGGUGGGGCUCGUUCGGGGUGCACAACGGUUGCGCCAAAAACGGUCCAAAAAUGGCCAAGGCUUUACCAUACCGAAAAUCGGCCGAUUUUUAACCAUGUGAGAAACGUCCCGAAAAUUCACAGAUAACUACUAGGAGGCCUCACUCUGAGUAAUAUGAAAGUUUUCUCCCACAAGAACCGCUCGGAGAUGCCCAGACUCAGUUUUUAUUUUCGUCCCAAUACUUUUCUUCCCAUGGACUAGUUGUGUUUCUUUGAUCUUGUGCAACCUAUUUAGGCCGAUGAUAGACCGCGGAUAGGUGUGGAAACCCAUCUAUAUUGCACCCAGUAUGACACAGAAAAAAAGCCCAGGGCCUAGGGGUCGGGUGGGGCUCGUUCGGGGUGCACAACGGUUGCGCCAAAAACGGUCCAAAAAUGGCCAAGGCUUUACCAUACCGAAAAUCGGCCGAUUUUUAACCAUGUGAGAAACGUCCCGAAAAUUCACAGGUAACUACUAGGGGCCUUUAAAAAAAUUUUUUCCCUCAAAAACCGCUCAAAAUGAGGCCACCCAGUAGUUAGGUGUGAAUUUUCGAGACCUUUGGCACCGUUCUAAGAUGGGUCCUCUCUUCGUAGGCUAAUGCAUUGGCCCUUUUUGACCCGUUUUGGGGCGAAAACAAAAACUGACUCCCGGGCAUAUUUUUUUCGGCCUUUAUGGGCAGAGAACUUUAAUACCGCUCAAAAUGAGGCCACCCAGUAGUUAGGUGUGAAUUUUCGAGACCUUUGGCACCGUUCUAAGAUGGGUCCUCUCUUCGUAGGCUAAUGCAUUGGCCCUUUUUGACCCGUUUUGGGGCGAAAACAAAAACUGACUCCCGGGCAUAUUUUUUUCGGCCUUUAUGGGCAGAGAACUUUAAUACCGCUCAAAAUGAGGCCACCCAGUAGUUAGGUGUGAAUUUUCGAGACCUUUGGCACCGUUCUAAGAUGGGUCCUCUCUUCGUAGGCUAAUGCAUUGGCCCUUUUUGACCCGUUUUGGGGCGAAAACAAAAACUGACUCCCGGGCAUAUUUUUUUCGGCCUUUAUGGGCAGAGAACUUUAAUACCGCUCAAAAUGAGGCCACCCAGUAGUUAGGUGUGAAUUUUCGAGACCUUUGGCACCGUUCUAAGAUGGGUCCUCUCUUCGUAGGCUAAUGCAUUGGCCCUUUUUGACCCGUUUUGGGGCGAAAACAAAAACUGACUCCCGGGCAUAUUUUUUUCGGCCUUUAUGGGCAGAGAACUUUAAUACCGCUCAAAAUGAGGCCACCCAGUAGUUAGGUGUGAAUUUUCGAGACCUUUGGCACCGUUCUAAGAUGGGUCCUCUCUUCGUAGGCUAAUGCAUUGGCCCUUUUUGACCCGUUUUGGGGCGAAAACAAAAACUGACUCCCGGGCAUAUUUUUUUCGGCCUUUAUGGGCAGAGAACUUUAAUACCGCUCAAAAUGAGGCCACCCAGUAGUUAGGUGUGAAUUUUCGAGACCUUUGGCACCGUUCUAAGAUGGGUCCUCUCUUCGUAGGCUAAUGCAUUGGCCCUUUUUGACCCGUUUUGGGGCGAAAACAAAAACUGACUCCCGGGCAUAUUUUUUUCGGCCUUUAUGGGCAGAGAACUUUAAUACCGCUCAAAAUGAGGCCACCCAGUAGUUAGGUGUGAAUUUUCGAGACCUUUGGCACCGUUCUAAGAUGGGUCCUCUCUUCGUAGGCUAAUGCAUUGGCCCUUUUUGACCCGUUUUGGGGCGAAAACAAAAACUGACUCCCGGGCAUAUUUUUUUCGGCCUUUAUGGGCAGAGAACUUUAAUACCGCUCAAAAUGAGGCCACCCAGUAGUUAGGUGUGAAUUUUCGAGACCUUUGGCACCGUUCUAAGAUGGGUCCUCUCUUCGUAGGCUAAUGCAUUGGCCCUUUUUGACCCGUUUUGGGGCGAAAACAAAAACUGACUCCCGGGCAUAUUUUUUUCGGCCUUUAUGGGCAGAGAACUUUAAUACCGCUCAAAAUGAGGCCACCCAGUAGUUAGGUGUGAAUUUUCGAGACCUUUGGCACCGUUCUAAGAUGGGUCCUCUCUUCGUAGGCUAAUGCAUUGGCCCUUUUUGACCCGUUUUGGGGCGAAAACAAAAACUGACUCCCGGGCAUAUUUUUUUCGGCCUUUAUGGGCAGAGAACUUUAAUACCGCUCAAAAUGAGGCCACCCAGUAGUUAGGUGUGAAUUUUCGAGACCUUUGGCACCGUUCUAAGAUGGGUCCUCUCUUCGUAGGCUAAUGCAUUGGCCCUUUUUGACCCGUUUUGGGGCGAAAACAAAAACUGACUCCCGGGCAUAUUUUUUUCGGCCUUUAUGGGCAGAGAACUUUAAUACCGCUCAAAAUGAGGCCACCCAGUAGUUAGGUGUGAAUUUUCGAGACCUUUGGCACCGUUCUAAGAUGGGUCCUCUCUUCGUAGGCUAAUGCAUUGGCCCUUUUUGACCCGUUUUGGGGCGAAAACAAAAACUGACUCCCGGGCAUAUUUUUUUCGGCCUUUAUGGGCAGAGAACUUUAAUACCGCUCAAAAUGAGGCCACCCAGUAGUUAGGUGUGAAUUUUCGAGACCUUUGGCACCGUUCUAAGAUGGGUCCUCUCUUCGUAGGCUAAUGCAUUGGCCCUUUUUGACCCGUUUUGGGGCGAAAACAAAAACUGACUCCCGGGCAUAUUUUUUUCGGCCUUUAUGGGCAGAGAACUUUAAUACCGCUCAAAAUGAGGCCACCCAGUAGUUAGGUGUGAAUUUUCGAGACCUUUGGCACCGUUCUAAGAUGGGUCCUCUCUUCGUAGGCUAAUGCAUUGGCCCUUUUUGACCCGUUUUGGGGCGAAAACAAAAACUGACUCCCGGGCAUAUUUUUUUCGGCCUUUAUGGGCAGAGAACUUUAAUACCGCUCAAAAUGAGGCCACCCAGUAGUUAGGUGUGAAUUUUCGAGACCUUUGGCACCGUUCUAAGAUGGGUCCUCUCUUCGUAGGCUAAUGCAUUGGCCCUUUUUGACCCGUUUUGGGGCGAAAACAAAAACUGACUCCCGGGCAUAUUUUUUUCGGCCUUUAUGGGCAGAGAACUUUAAUACCGCUCAAAAUGAGGCCACCCAGUAGUUAGGUGUGAAUUUUCGAGACCUUUGGCACCGUUCUAAGAUGGGUCCUCUCUUCGUAGGCUAAUGCAUUGGCCCUUUUUGACCCGUUUUGGGGCGAAAACAAAAACUGACUCCCGGGCAUUUUUUUUCGGCCUUUAUGGGCAGAGAACUUUAAUACCGCUCAAAAUGAGGCCACCCAGUAGUUAGGUGUGAAUUUUCGAGACCUUUGGCACCGUUCUAAGAUGGGUCCUCUCUUCGUAGGCUAAUGCAUUGGCCCUUUUUGACCCGUUUUGGGGCGAAAACAAAAACUGACUCCCGGGCAUAUUUUUUUCGGCCUUUAUGGGCAGAGAACUUUAAUACCGCUCAAAAUGAGGCCACCCAGUAGUUAGGUGUGAAUUUUCGAGACCUUUGGCACCGUUCUAAGAUGGGUCCUCUCUUCGUAGGCUAAUGCAUUGGCCCUUUUUGACCCGUUUUGGGGCGAAAACAAAAACUGACUCCCGGGCAUAUUUUUUUCGGCCUUUAUGGGCAGAGAACUUUAAUACCGCUCAAAAUGAGGCCACCCAGUAGUUAGGUGUGAAUUUUCGAGACCUUUGGCACCGUUCUAAGAUGGGUCCUCUCUUCGUAGGCUAAUGCAUUGGCCCUUUUUGACCCGUUUUGGGGCGAAAACAAAAACUGACUCCCGGGCAUAUUUUUUUCGGCCUUUAUGGGCAGAGAACUUUAAUACCGCUCAAAAUGAGGCCACCCAGUAGUUAGGUGUGAAUUUUCGAGACCUUUGGCACCGUUCUAAGAUGGGUCCUCUCUUCGUAGGCUAAUGCAUUGGCCCUUUUUGACCCGUUUUGGGGCGAAAACAAAAACUGACUCCCGGGCAUAUUUUUUUCGGCCUUUAUGGGCAGAGAACUUUAAUACCGCUCAAAAUGAGGCCACCCAGUAGUUAGGUGUGAAUUUUCGAGACCUUUGGCACCGUUCUAAGAUGGGUCCUCUCUUCGUAGGCUAAUGCAUUGGCCCUUUUUGACCCGUUUUGGGGCGAAAACAAAAACUGACUCCCGGGCAUAUUUUUUUCGGCCUUUAUGGGCAGAGAACUUUAAUACCGCUCAAAAUGAGGCCACCCAGUAGUUAGGUGUGAAUUUUCGAGACCUUUGGCACCGUUCUAAGAUGGGUCCUCUCUUCGUAGGCUAAUGCAUUGGCCCUUUUUGACCCGUUUUGGGGCGAAAACAAAAACUGACUCCCGGGCAUAUUUUUUUCGGCCUUUAUGGGCAGAGAACUUUAAUACCGCUCAAAAUGAGGCCACCCAGUAGUUAGGUGUGAAUUUUCGAGACCUUUGGCACCGUUCUAAGAUGGGUCCUCUCUUCGUAGGCUAAUGCAUUGGCCCUUUUUGACCCGUUUUGGGGCGAAAACAAAAACUGACUCCCGGGCAUAUUUUUUUCGGCCUUUAUGGGCAGAGAACUUUAAUACCGCUCAAAAUGAGGCCACCCAGUAGUUAGGUGUGAAUUUUCGAGACCUUUGGCACCGUUCUAAGAUGGGUCCUCUCUUCGUAGGCUAAUGCAUUGGCCCUUUUUGACCCGUUUUGGGGCGAAAACAAAAACUGACUCCCGGGCAUAUUUUUUUCGGCCUUUAUGGGCAGAGAACUUUAAUACCGCUCAAAAUGAGGCCACCCAGUAGUUAGGUGUGAAUUUUCGAGACCUUUGGCACCGUUCUAAGAUGGGUCCUCUCUUCGUAGGCUAAUGCAUUGGCCCUUUUUGACCCGUUUUGGGGCGAAAACAAAAACUGACUCCCGGGCAUAUUUUUUUCGGCCUUUAUGGGCAGAGAACUUUAAUACCGCUCAAAAUGAGGCCACCCAGUAGUUAGGUGUGAAUUUUCGAGACCUUUGGCACCGUUCUAAGAUGGGUCCUCUCUUCGUAGGCUAAUGCAUUGGCCCUUUUUGACCCGUUUUGGGGCGAAAACAAAAACUGACUCCCGGGCAUAUUUUUUUCGGCCUUUAUGGGCAGAGAACUUUAAUACCGCUCAAAAUGAGGCCACCCAGUAGUUAGGUGUGAAUUUUCGAGACCUUUGGCACCGUUCUAAGAUGGGUCCUCUCUUCGUAGGCUAAUGCAUUGGCCCUUUUUGACCCGUUUUGGGGCGAAAACAAAAACUGACUCCCGGGCAUAUUUUUUUCGGCCUUUAUGGGCAGAGAACUUUAAUACCGCUCAAAAUGAGGCCACCCAGUAGUUAGGUGUGAAUUUUCGAGACCUUUGGCACCGUUCUAAGAUGGGUCCUCUCUUCGUAGGCUAAUGCAUUGGCCCUUUUUGACCCGUUUUGGGGCGAAAACAAAAACUGACUCCCGGGCAUAUUUUUUUCGGCCUUUAUGGGCAGAGAACUUUAAUACCGCUCAAAAUGAGGCCACCCAGUAGUUAGGUGUGAAUUUUCGAGACCUUUGGCACCGUUCUAAGAUGGGUCCUCUCUUCGUAGGCUAAUGCAUUGGCCCUUUUUGACCCGUUUUGGGGCGAAAACAAAAACUGACUCCCGGGCAUAUUUUUUUCGGCCUUUAUGGGCAGAGAACUUUAAUACCGCUCAAAAUGAGGCCACCCAGUAGUUAGGUGUGAAUUUUCGAGACCUUUGGCACCGUUCUAAGAUGGGUCCUCUCUUCGUAGGCUAAUGCAUUGGCCCUUUUUGACCCGUUUUGGGGCGAAAACAAAAACUGACUCCCGGGCAUAUUUUUUUCGGCCUUUAUGGGCAGAGAACUUUAAUACCGCUCAAAAUGAGGCCACCCAGUAGUUAGGUGUGAAUUUUCGAGACCUUUGGCACCGUUCUAAGAUGGGUCCUCUCUUCGUAGGCUAAUGCAUUGGCCCUUUUUGACCCGUUUUGGGGCGAAAACAAAAACUGACUCCCGGGCAUAUUUUUUUCGGCCUUUAUGGGCAGAGAACUUUAAUACCGCUCAAAAUGAGGCCACCCAGUAGUUAGGUGUGAAUUUUCGAGACCUUUGGCACCGUUCUAAGAUGGGUCCUCUCUUCGUAGGCUAAUGCAUUGGCCCUUUUUGACCCGUUUUGGGGCGAAAACAAAAACUGACUCCCGGGCAUAUUUUUUUCGGCCUUUAUGGGCAGAGAACUUUAAUACCGCUCAAAAUGAGGCCACCCAGUAGUUAGGUGUGAAUUUUCGAGACCUUUGGCACCGUUCUAAGAUGGGUCCUCUCUUCGUAGGCUAAUGCAUUGGCCCUUUUUGACCCGUUUUGGGGCGAAAACAAAAACUGACUCCCGGGCAUAUUUUUUUCGGCCUUUAUGGGCAGAGAACUUUAAUACCGCUCAAAAUGAGGCCACCCAGUAGUUAGGUGUGAAUUUUCGAGACCUUUGGCACCGUUCUAAGAUGGGUCCUCUCUUCGUAGGCUAAUGCAUUGGCCCUUUUUGACCCGUUUUGGGGCGAAAACAAAAACUGACUCCCGGGCAUAUUUUUUUCGGCCUUUAUGGGCAGAGAACUUUAAUACCGCUCAAAAUGAGGCCACCCAGUAGUUAGGUGUGAAUUUUCGAGACCUUUGGCACCGUUCUAAGAUGGGUCCUCUCUUCGUAGGCUAAUGCAUUGGCCCUUUUUGACCCGUUUUGGGGCGAAAACAAAAACUGACUCCCGGGCAUAUUUUUUUCGGCCUUUAUGGGCAGAGAACUUUAAUACCGCUCAAAAUGAGGCCACCCAGUAGUUAGGUGUGAAUUUUCGAGACCUUUGGCACCGUUCUAAGAUGGGUCCUCUCUUCGUAGGCUAAUGCAUUGGCCCUUUUUGACCCGUUUUGGGGCGAAAACAAAAACUGACUCCCGGGCAUAUUUUUUUCGGCCUUUAUGGGCAGAGAACUUUAAUACCGCUCAAAAUGAGGCCACCCAGUAGUUAGGUGUGAAUUUUCGAGACCUUUGGCACCGUUCUAAGAUGGGUCCUCUCUUCGUAGGCUAAUGCAUUGGCCCUUUUUGACCCGUUUUGGGGCGAAAACAAAAACUGACUCCCGGGCAUAUUUUUUUCGGCCUUUAUGGGCAGAGAACUUUAAUACCGCUCAAAAUGAGGCCACCCAGUAGUUAGGUGUGAAUUUUCGAGACCUUUGGCACCGUUCUAAGAUGGGUCCUCUCUUCGUAGGCUAAUGCAUUGGCCCUUUUUGACCCGUUUUGGGGCGAAAACAAAAACUGACUCCCGGGCAUAUUUUUUUCGGCCUUUAUGGGCAGAGAACUUUAAUACCGCUCAAAAUGAGGCCACCCAGUAGUUAGGUGUGAAUUUUCGAGACCUUUGGCACCGUUCUAAGAUGGGUCCUCUCUUCGUAGGCUAAUGCAUUGGCCCUUUUUGACCCGUUUUGGGGCGAAAACAAAAACUGACUCCCGGGCAUAUUUUUUUCGGCCUUUAUGGGCAGAGAACUUUAAUACCGCUCAAAAUGAGGCCACCCAGUAGUUAGGUGUGAAUUUUCGAGACCUUUGGCACCGUUCUAAGAUGGGUCCUCUCUUCGUAGGCUAAUGCAUUGGCCCUUUUUGACCCGUUUUGGGGCGAAAACAAAAACUGACUCCCGGGCAUAUUUUUUUCGGCCUUUAUGGGCAGAGAACUUUAAUACCGCUCAAAAUGAGGCCACCCAGUAGUUAGGUGUGAAUUUUCGAGACCUUUGGCACCGUUCUAAGAUGGGUCCUCUCUUCGUAGGCUAAUGCAUUGGCCCUUUUUGACCCGUUUUGGGGCGAAAACAAAAACUGACUCCCGGGCAUAUUUUUUUCGGCCUUUAUGGGCAGAGAACUUUAAUACCGCUCAAAAUGAGGCCACCCAGUAGUUAGGUGUGAAUUUUCGAGACCUUUGGCACCGUUCUAAGAUGGGUCCUCUCUUCGUAGGCUAAUGCAUUGGCCCUUUUUGACCCGUUUUGGGGCGAAAACAAAAACUGACUCCCGGGCAUAUUUUUUUCGGCCUUUAUGGGCAGAGAACUUUAAUACCGCUCAAAAUGAGGCCACCCAGUAGUUAGGUGUGAAUUUUCGAGACCUUUGGCACCGUUCUAAGAUGGGUCCUCUCUUCGUAGGCUAAUGCAUUGGCCCUUUUUGACCCGUUUUGGGGCGAAAACAAAAACUGACUCCCGGGCAUAUUUUUUUCGGCCUUUAUGGGCAGAGAACUUUAAUACCGCUCAAAAUGAGGCCACCCAGUAGUUAGGUGUGAAUUUUCGAGACCUUUGGCACCGUUCUAAGAUGGGUCCUCUCUUCGUAGGCUAAUGCAUUGGCCCUUUUUGACCCGUUUUGGGGCGAAAACAAAAACUGACUCCCGGGCAUAUUUUUUUCGGCCUUUAUGGGCAGAGAACUUUAAUACCGCUCAAAAUGAGGCCACCCAGUAGUUAGGUGUGAAUUUUCGAGACCUUUGGCACCGUUCUAAGAUGGGUCCUCUCUUCGUAGGCUAAUGCAUUGGCCCUUUUUGACCCGUUUUGGGGCGAAAACAAAAACUGACUCCCGGGCAUAUUUUUUUCGGCCUUUAUGGGCAGAGAACUUUAAUACCGCUCAAAAUGAGGCCACCCAGUAGUUAGGUGUGAAUUUUCGAGACCUUUGGCACCGUUCUAAGAUGGGUCCUCUCUUCGUAGGCUAAUGCAUUGGCCCUUUUUGACCCGUUUUGGGGCGAAAACAAAAACUGACUCCCGGGCAUAUUUUUUUCGGCCUUUAUGGGCAGAGAACUUUAAUACCGCUCAAAAUGAGGCCACCCAGUAGUUAGGUGUGAAUUUUCGAGACCUUUGGCACCGUUCUAAGAUGGGUCCUCUCUUCGUAGGCUAAUGCAUUGGCCCUUUUUGACCCGUUUUGGGGCGAAAACAAAAACUGACUCCCGGGCAUAUUUUUUUCGGCCUUUAUGGGCAGAGAACUUUAAUACCGCUCAAAAUGAGGCCACCCAGUAGUUAGGUGUGAAUUUUCGAGACCUUUGGCACCGUUCUAAGAUGGGUCCUCUCUUCGUAGGCUAAUGCAUUGGCCCUUUUUGACCCGUUUUGGGGCGAAAACAAAAACUGACUCCCGGGCAUAUUUUUUUCGGCCUUUAUGGGCAGAGAACUUUAAUACCGCUCAAAAUGAGGCCACCCAGUAGUUAGGUGUGAAUUUUCGAGACCUUUGGCACCGUUCUAAGAUGGGUCCUCUCUUCGUAGGCUAAUGCAUUGGCCCUUUUUGACCCGUUUUGGGGCGAAAACAAAAACUGACUCCCGGGCAUAUUUUUUUCGGCCUUUAUGGGCAGAGAACUUUAAUACCGCUCAAAAUGAGGCCACCCAGUAGUUAGGUGUGAAUUUUCGAGACCUUUGGCACCGUUCUAAGAUGGGUCCUCUCUUCGUAGGCUAAUGCAUUGGCCCUUUUUGACCCGUUUUGGGGCGAAAACAAAAACUGACUCCCGGGCAUAUUUUUUUCGGCCUUUAUGGGCAGAGAACUUUAAUACCGCUCAAAAUGAGGCCACCCAGUAGUUAGGUGUGAAUUUUCGAGACCUUUGGCACCGUUCUAAGAUGGGUCCUCUCUUCGUAGGCUAAUGCAUUGGCCCUUUUUGACCCGUUUUGGGGCGAAAACAAAAACUGACUCCCGGGCAUAUUUUUUUCGGCCUUUAUGGGCAGAGAACUUUAAUACCGCUCAAAAUGAGGCCACCCAGUAGUUAGGUGUGAAUUUUCGAGACCUUUGGCACCGUUCUAAGAUGGGUCCUCUCUUCGUAGGCUAAUGCAUUGGCCCUUUUUGACCCGUUUUGGGGCGAAAACAAAAACUGACUCCCGGGCAUAUUUUUUUCGGCCUUUAUGGGCAGAGAACUUUAAUACCGCUCAAAAUGAGGCCACCCAGUAGUUAGGUGUGAAUUUUCGAGACCUUUGGCACCGUUCUAAGAUGGGUCCUCUCUUCGUAGGCUAAUGCAUUGGCCCUUUUUGACCCGUUUUGGGGCGAAAACAAAAACUGACUCCCGGGCAUAUUUUUUUCGGCCUUUAUGGGCAGAGAACUUUAAUACCGCUCAAAAUGAGGCCACCCAGUAGUUAGGUGUGAAUUUUCGAGACCUUUGGCACCGUUCUAAGAUGGGUCCUCUCUUCGUAGGCUAAUGCAUUGGCCCUUUUUGACCCGUUUUGGGGCGAAAACAAAAACUGACUCCCGGGCAUAUUUUUUUCGGCCUUUAUGGGCAGAGAACUUUAAUACCGCUCAAAAUGAGGCCACCCAGUAGUUAGGUGUGAAUUUUCGAGACCUUUGGCACCGUUCUAAGAUGGGUCCUCUCUUCGUAGGCUAAUGCAUUGGCCCUUUUUGACCCGUUUUGGGGCGAAAACAAAAACUGACUCCCGGGCAUAUUUUUUUCGGCCUUUAUGGGCAGAGAACUUUAAUACCGCUCAAAAUGAGGCCACCCAGUAGUUAGGUGUGAAUUUUCGAGACCUUUGGCACCGUUCUAAGAUGGGUCCUCUCUUCGUAGGCUAAUGCAUUGGCCCUUUUUGACCCGUUUUGGGGCGAAAACAAAAACUGACUCCCGGGCAUAUUUUUUUCGGCCUUUAUGGGCAGAGAACUUUAAUACCGCUCAAAAUGAGGCCACCCAGUAGUUAGGUGUGAAUUUUCGAGACCUUUGGCACCGUUCUAAGAUGGGUCCUCUCUUCGUAGGCUAAUGCAUUGGCCCUUUUUGACCCGUUUUGGGGCGAAAACAAAAACUGACUCCCGGGCAUAUUUUUUUCGGCCUUUAUGGGCAGAGAACUUUAAUACCGCUCAAAAUGAGGCCACCCAGUAGUUAGGUGUGAAUUUUCGAGACCUUUGGCACCGUUCUAAGAUGGGUCCUCUCUUCGUAGGCUAAUGCAUUGGCCCUUUUUGACCCGUUUUGGGGCGAAAACAAAAACUGACUCCCGGGCAUAUUUUUUUCGGCCUUUAUGGGCAGAGAACUUUAAUACCGCUCAAAAUGAGGCCACCCAGUAGUUAGGUGUGAAUUUUCGAGACCUUUGGCACCGUUCUAAGAUGGGUCCUCUCUUCGUAGGCUAAUGCAUUGGCCCUUUUUGACCCGUUUUGGGGCGAAAACAAAAACUGACUCCCGGGCAUAUUUUUUUCGGCCUUUAUGGGCAGAGAACUUUAAUACCGCUCAAAAUGAGGCCACCCAGUAGUUAGGUGUGAAUUUUCGAGACCUUUGGCACCGUUCUAAGAUGGGUCCUCUCUUCGUAGGCUAAUGCAUUGGCCCUUUUUGACCCGUUUUGGGGCGAAAACAAAAACUGACUCCCGGGCAUAUUUUUUUCGGCCUUUAUGGGCAGAGAACUUUAAUACCGCUCAAAAUGAGGCCACCCAGUAGUUAGGUGUGAAUUUUCGAGACCUUUGGCACCGUUCUAAGAUGGGUCCUCUCUUCGUAGGCUAAUGCAUUGGCCCUUUUUGACCCGUUUUGGGGCGAAAACAAAAACUGACUCCCGGGCAUAUUUUUUUCGGCCUUUAUGGGCAGAGAACUUUAAUACCGCUCAAAAUGAGGCCACCCAGUAGUUAGGUGUGAAUUUUCGAGACCUUUGGCACCGUUCUAAGAUGGGUCCUCUCUUCGUAGGCUAAUGCAUUGGCCCUUUUUGACCCGUUUUGGGGCGAAAACAAAAACUGACUCCCGGGCAUAUUUUUUUCGGCCUUUAUGGGCAGAGAACUUUAAUACCGCUCAAAAUGAGGCCACCCAGUAGUUAGGUGUGAAUUUUCGAGACCUUUGGCACCGUUCUAAGAUGGGUCCUCUCUUCGUAGGCUAAUGCAUUGGCCCUUUUUGACCCGUUUUGGGGCGAAAACAAAAACUGACUCCCGGGCAUAUUUUUUUCGGCCUUUAUGGGCAGAGAACUUUAAUACCGCUCAAAAUGAGGCCACCCAGUAGUUAGGUGUGAAUUUUCGAGACCUUUGGCACCGUUCUAAGAUGGGUCCUCUCUUCGUAGGCUAAUGCAUUGGCCCUUUUUGACCCGUUUUGGGGCGAAAACAAAAACUGACUCCCGGGCAUAUUUUUUUCGGCCUUUAUGGGCAGAGAACUUUAAUACCGCUCAAAAUGAGGCCACCCAGUAGUUAGGUGUGAAUUUUCGAGACCUUUGGCACCGUUCUAAGAUGGGUCCUCUCUUCGUAGGCUAAUGCAUUGGCCCUUUUUGACCCGUUUUGGGGCGAAAACAAAAACUGACUCCCGGGCAUAUUUUUUUCGGCCUUUAUGGGCAGAGAACUUUAAUACCGCUCAAAAUGAGGCCACCCAGUAGUUAGGUGUGAAUUUUCGAGACCUUUGGCACCGUUCUAAGAUGGGUCCUCUCUUCGUAGGCUAAUGCAUUGGCCCUUUUUGACCCGUUUUGGGGCGAAAACAAAAACUGACUCCCGGGCAUAUUUUUUUCGGCCUUUAUGGGCAGAGAACUUUAAUACCGCUCAAAAUGAGGCCACCCAGUAGUUAGGUGUGAAUUUUCGAGACCUUUGGCACCGUUCUAAGAUGGGUCCUCUCUUCGUAGGCUAAUGCAUUGGCCCUUUUUGACCCGUUUUGGGGCGAAAACAAAAACUGACUCCCGGGCAUAUUUUUUUCGGCCUUUAUGGGCAGAGAACUUUAAUACCGCUCAAAAUGAGGCCACCCAGUAGUUAGGUGUGAAUUUUCGAGACCUUUGGCACCGUUCUAAGAUGGGUCCUCUCUUCGUAGGCUAAUGCAUUGGCCCUUUUUGACCCGUUUUGGGGCGAAAACAAAAACUGACUCCCGGGCAUAUUUUUUUCGGCCUUUAUGGGCAGAGAACUUUAAUACCGCUCAAAAUGAGGCCACCCAGUAGUUAGGUGUGAAUUUUCGAGACCUUUGGCACCGUUCUAAGAUGGGUCCUCUCUUCGUAGGCUAAUGCAUUGGCCCUUUUUGACCCGUUUUGGGGCGAAAACAAAAACUGACUCCCGGGCAUAUUUUUUUCGGCCUUUAUGGGCAGAGAACUUUAAUACCGCUCAAAAUGAGGCCACCCAGUAGUUAGGUGUGAAUUUUCGAGACCUUUGGCACCGUUCUAAGAUGGGUCCUCUCUUCGUAGGCUAAUGCAUUGGCCCUUUUUGACCCGUUUUGGGGCGAAAACAAAAACUGACUCCCGGGCAUAUUUUUUUCGGCCUUUAUGGGCAGAGAACUUUAAUACCGCUCAAAAUGAGGCCACCCAGUAGUUAGGUGUGAAUUUUCGAGACCUUUGGCACCGUUCUAAGAUGGGUCCUCUCUUCGUAGGCUAAUGCAUUGGCCCUUUUUGACCCGUUUUGGGGCGAAAACAAAAACUGACUCCCGGGCAUAUUUUUUUCGGCCUUUAUGGGCAGAGAACUUUAAUACCGCUCAAAAUGAGGCCACCCAGUAGUUAGGUGUGAAUUUUCGAGACCUUUGGCACCGUUCUAAGAUGGGUCCUCUCUUCGUAGGCUAAUGCAUUGGCCCUUUUUGACCCGUUUUGGGGCGAAAACAAAAACUGACUCCCGGGCAUAUUUUUUUCGGCCUUUAUGGGCAGAGAACUUUAAUACCGCUCAAAAUGAGGCCACCCAGUAGUUAGGUGUGAAUUUUCGAGACCUUUGGCACCGUUCUAAGAUGGGUCCUCUCUUCGUAGGCUAAUGCAUUGGCCCUUUUUGACCCGUUUUGGGGCGAAAACAAAAACUGACUCCCGGGCAUAUUUUUUUCGGCCUUUAUGGGCAGAGAACUUUAAUACCGCUCAAAAUGAGGCCACCCAGUAGUUAGGUGUGAAUUUUCGAGACCUUUGGCACCGUUCUAAGAUGGGUCCUCUCUUCGUAGGCUAAUGCAUUGGCCCUUUUUGACCCGUUUUGGGGCGAAAACAAAAACUGACUCCCGGGCAUAUUUUUUUCGGCCUUUAUGGGCAGAGAACUUUAAUACCGCUCAAAAUGAGGCCACCCAGUAGUUAGGUGUGAAUUUUCGAGACCUUUGGCACCGUUCUAAGAUGGGUCCUCUCUUCGUAGGCUAAUGCAUUGGCCCUUUUUGACCCGUUUUGGGGCGAAAACAAAAACUGACUCCCGGGCAUAUUUUUUUCGGCCUUUAUGGGCAGAGAACUUUAAUACCGCUCAAAAUGAGGCCACCCAGUAGUUAGGUGUGAAUUUUCGAGACCUUUGGCACCGUUCUAAGAUGGGUCCUCUCUUCGUAGGCUAAUGCAUUGGCCCUUUUUGACCCGUUUUGGGGCGAAAACAAAAACUGACUCCCGGGCAUAUUUUUUUCGGCCUUUAUGGGCAGAGAACUUUAAUACCGCUCAAAAUGAGGCCACCCAGUAGUUAGGUGUGAAUUUUCGAGACCUUUGGCACCGUUCUAAGAUGGGUCCUCUCUUCGUAGGCUAAUGCAUUGGCCCUUUUUGACCCGUUUUGGGGCGAAAACAAAAACUGACUCCCGGGCAUAUUUUUUUCGGCCUUUAUGGGCAGAGAACUUUAAUACCGCUCAAAAUGAGGCCACCCAGUAGUUAGGUGUGAAUUUUCGAGACCUUUGGCACCGUUCUAAGAUGGGUCCUCUCUUCGUAGGCUAAUGCAUUGGCCCUUUUUGACCCGUUUUGGGGCGAAAACAAAAACUGACUCCCGGGCAUAUUUUUUUCGGCCUUUAUGGGCAGAGAACUUUAAUACCGCUCAAAAUGAGGCCACCCAGUAGUUAGGUGUGAAUUUUCGAGACCUUUGGCACCGUUCUAAGAUGGGUCCUCUCUUCGUAGGCUAAUGCAUUGGCCCUUUUUGACCCGUUUUGGGGCGAAAACAAAAACUGACUCCCGGGCAUAUUUUUUUCGGCCUUUAUGGGCAGAGAACUUUAAUACCGCUCAAAAUGAGGCCACCCAGUAGUUAGGUGUGAAUUUUCGAGACCUUUGGCACCGUUCUAAGAUGGGUCCUCUCUUCGUAGGCUAAUGCAUUGGCCCUUUUUGACCCGUUUUGGGGCGAAAACAAAAACUGACUCCCGGGCAUAUUUUUUUCGGCCUUUAUGGGCAGAGAACUUUAAUACCGCUCAAAAUGAGGCCACCCAGUAGUUAGGUGUGAAUUUUCGAGACCUUUGGCACCGUUCUAAGAUGGGUCCUCUCUUCGUAGGCUAAUGCAUUGGCCCUUUUUGACCCGUUUUGGGGCGAAAACAAAAACUGACUCCCGGGCAUAUUUUUUUCGGCCUUUAUGGGCAGAGAACUUUAAUACCGCUCAAAAUGAGGCCACCCAGUAGUUAGGUGUGAAUUUUCGAGACCUUUGGCACCGUUCUAAGAUGGGUCCUCUCUUCGUAGGCUAAUGCAUUGGCCCUUUUUGACCCGUUUUGGGGCGAAAACAAAAACUGACUCCCGGGCAUAUUUUUUUCGGCCUUUAUGGGCAGAGAACUUUAAUACCGCUCAAAAUGAGGCCACCCAGUAGUUAGGUGUGAAUUUUCGAGACCUUUGGCACCGUUCUAAGAUGGGUCCUCUCUUCGUAGGCUAAUGCAUUGGCCCUUUUUGACCCGUUUUGGGGCGAAAACAAAAACUGACUCCCGGGCAUAUUUUUUUCGGCCUUUAUGGGCAGAGAACUUUAAUACCGCUCAAAAUGAGGCCACCCAGUAGUUAGGUGUGAAUUUUCGAGACCUUUGGCACCGUUCUAAGAUGGGUCCUCUCUUCGUAGGCUAAUGCAUUGGCCCUUUUUGACCCGUUUUGGGGCGAAAACAAAAACUGACUCCCGGGCAUAUUUUUUUCGGCCUUUAUGGGCAGAGAACUUUAAUACCGCUCAAAAUGAGGCCACCCAGUAGUUAGGUGUGAAUUUUCGAGACCUUUGGCACCGUUCUAAGAUGGGUCCUCUCUUCGUAGGCUAAUGCAUUGGCCCUUUUUGACCCGUUUUGGGGCGAAAACAAAAACUGACUCCCGGGCAUAUUUUUUUCGGCCUUUAUGGGCAGAGAACUUUAAUACCGCUCAAAAUGAGGCCACCCAGUAGUUAGGUGUGAAUUUUCGAGACCUUUGGCACCGUUCUAAGAUGGGUCCUCUCUUCGUAGGCUAAUGCAUUGGCCCUUUUUGACCCGUUUUGGGGCGAAAACAAAAACUGACUCCCGGGCAUAUUUUUUUCGGCCUUUAUGGGCAGAGAACUUUAAUACCGCUCAAAAUGAGGCCACCCAGUAGUUAGGUGUGAAUUUUCGAGACCUUUGGCACCGUUCUAAGAUGGGUCCUCUCUUCGUAGGCUAAUGCAUUGGCCCUUUUUGACCCGUUUUGGGGCGAAAACAAAAACUGACUCCCGGGCAUAUUUUUUUCGGCCUUUAUGGGCAGAGAACUUUAAUACCGCUCAAAAUGAGGCCACCCAGUAGUUAGGUGUGAAUUUUCGAGACCUUUGGCACCGUUCUAAGAUGGGUCCUCUCUUCGUAGGCUAAUGCAUUGGCCCUUUUUGACCCGUUUUGGGGCGAAAACAAAAACUGACUCCCGGGCAUAUUUUUUUCGGCCUUUAUGGGCAGAGAACUUUAAUACCGCUCAAAAUGAGGCCACCCAGUAGUUAGGUGUGAAUUUUCGAGACCUUUGGCACCGUUCUAAGAUGGGUCCUCUCUUCGUAGGCUAAUGCAUUGGCCCUUUUUGACCCGUUUUGGGGCGAAAACAAAAACUGACUCCCGGGCAUAUUUUUUUCGGCCUUUAUGGGCAGAGAACUUUAAUACCGCUCAAAAUGAGGCCACCCAGUAGUUAGGUGUGAAUUUUCGAGACCUUUGGCACCGUUCUAAGAUGGGUCCUCUCUUCGUAGGCUAAUGCAUUGGCCCUUUUUGACCCGUUUUGGGGCGAAAACAAAAACUGACUCCCGGGCAUAUUUUUUUCGGCCUUUAUGGGCAGAGAACUUUAAUACCGCUCAAAAUGAGGCCACCCAGUAGUUAGGUGUGAAUUUUCGAGACCUUUGGCACCGUUCUAAGAUGGGUCCUCUCUUCGUAGGCUAAUGCAUUGGCCCUUUUUGACCCGUUUUGGGGCGAAAACAAAAACUGACUCCCGGGCAUAUUUUUUUCGGCCUUUAUGGGCAGAGAACUUUAAUACCGCUCAAAAUGAGGCCACCCAGUAGUUAGGUGUGAAUUUUCGAGACCUUUGGCACCGUUCUAAGAUGGGUCCUCUCUUCGUAGGCUAAUGCAUUGGCCCUUUUUGACCCGUUUUGGGGCGAAAACAAAAACUGACUCCCGGGCAUAUUUUUUUCGGCCUUUAUGGGCAGAGAACUUUAAUACCGCUCAAAAUGAGGCCACCCAGUAGUUAGGUGUGAAUUUUCGAGACCUUUGGCACCGUUCUAAGAUGGGUCCUCUCUUCGUAGGCUAAUGCAUUGGCCCUUUUUGACCCGUUUUGGGGCGAAAACAAAAACUGACUCCCGGGCAUAUUUUUUUCGGCCUUUAUGGGCAGAGAACUUUAAUACCGCUCAAAAUGAGGCCACCCAGUAGUUAGGUGUGAAUUUUCGAGACCUUUGGCACCGUUCUAAGAUGGGUCCUCUCUUCGUAGGCUAAUGCAUUGGCCCUUUUUGACCCGUUUUGGGGCGAAAACAAAAACUGACUCCCGGGCAUAUUUUUUUCGGCCUUUAUGGGCAGAGAACUUUAAUACCGCUCAAAAUGAGGCCACCCAGUAGUUAGGUGUGAAUUUUCGAGACCUUUGGCACCGUUCUAAGAUGGGUCCUCUCUUCGUAGGCUAAUGCAUUGGCCCUUUUUGACCCGUUUUGGGGCGAAAACAAAAACUGACUCCCGGGCAUAUUUUUUUCGGCCUUUAUGGGCAGAGAACUUUAAUACCGCUCAAAAUGAGGCCACCCAGUAGUUAGGUGUGAAUUUUCGAGACCUUUGGCACCGUUCUAAGAUGGGUCCUCUCUUCGUAGGCUAAUGCAUUGGCCCUUUUUGACCCGUUUUGGGGCGAAAACAAAAACUGACUCCCGGGCAUAUUUUUUUCGGCCUUUAUGGGCAGAGAACUUUAAUACCGCUCAAAAUGAGGCCACCCAGUAGUUAGGUGUGAAUUUUCGAGACCUUUGGCACCGUUCUAAGAUGGGUCCUCUCUUCGUAGGCUAAUGCAUUGGCCCUUUUUGACCCGUUUUGGGGCGAAAACAAAAACUGACUCCCGGGCAUAUUUUUUUCGGCCUUUAUGGGCAGAGAACUUUAAUACCGCUCAAAAUGAGGCCACCCAGUAGUUAGGUGUGAAUUUUCGAGACCUUUGGCACCGUUCUAAGAUGGGUCCUCUCUUCGUAGGCUAAUGCAUUGGCCCUUUUUGACCCGUUUUGGGGCGAAAACAAAAACUGACUCCCGGGCAUAUUUUUUUCGGCCUUUAUGGGCAGAGAACUUUAAUACCGCUCAAAAUGAGGCCACCCAGUAGUUAGGUGUGAAUUUUCGAGACCUUUGGCACCGUUCUAAGAUGGGUCCUCUCUUCGUAGGCUAAUGCAUUGGCCCUUUUUGACCCGUUUUGGGGCGAAAACAAAAACUGACUCCCGGGCAUAUUUUUUUCGGCCUUUAUGGGCAGAGAACUUUAAUACCGCUCAAAAUGAGGCCACCCAGUAGUUAGGUGUGAAUUUUCGAGACCUUUGGCACCGUUCUAAGAUGGGUCCUCUCUUCGUAGGCUAAUGCAUUGGCCCUUUUUGACCCGUUUUGGGGCGAAAACAAAAACUGACUCCCGGGCAUAUUUUUUUCGGCCUUUAUGGGCAGAGAACUUUAAUACCGCUCAAAAUGAGGCCACCCAGUAGUUAGGUGUGAAUUUUCGAGACCUUUGGCACCGUUCUAAGAUGGGUCCUCUCUUCGUAGGCUAAUGCAUUGGCCCUUUUUGACCCGUUUUGGGGCGAAAACAAAAACUGACUCCCGGGCAUAUUUUUUUCGGCCUUUAUGGGCAGAGAACUUUAAUACCGCUCAAAAUGAGGCCACCCAGUAGUUAGGUGUGAAUUUUCGAGACCUUUGGCACCGUUCUAAGAUGGGUCCUCUCUUCGUAGGCUAAUGCAUUGGCCCUUUUUGACCCGUUUUGGGGCGAAAACAAAAACUGACUCCCGGGCAUAUUUUUUUCGGCCUUUAUGGGCAGAGAACUUUAAUACCGCUCAAAAUGAGGCCACCCAGUAGUUAGGUGUGAAUUUUCGAGACCUUUGGCACCGUUCUAAGAUGGGUCCUCUCUUCGUAGGCUAAUGCAUUGGCCCUUUUUGACCCGUUUUGGGCGAAAACAAAAACUGACUCCCGGGCAUAUUUUUUUCGGCCUUUAUGGGCAGAGAACUUUAAUACCGCUCAAAAUGAGGCCACCCAGUAGUUAGGUGUGAAUUUUCGAGACCUUUGGCACCGUUCUAAGAUGGGUCCUCUCUUCGUAGGCUAAUGCAUUGGCCCUUUUUGACCCGUUUUGGGGCGAAAACAAAAACUGACUCCCGGGCAUAUUUUUUUCGGCCUUUAUGGGCAGAGAACUUUAAUACCGCUCAAAAUGAGGCCACCCAGUAGUUAGGUGUGAAUUUUCGAGACCUUUGGCACCGUUCUAAGAUGGGUCCUCUCUUCGUAGGCAUUGGCCCUUUUUCCCGUUUUGACGAAAACAAAAACUGACUCCCGGGCAUUUUUUUCGGCCUUUAUGGGCAGAGAACUUUAAUACCGCUCGGCAGAGACCCUUUUUGGUGUGAAUUUUCGAGACCUUUGGCACCGUUCUAAGAUGUCCUCUCUUCGAGGCUAAUGCAUUGGCCCUUUUUGACCCGUUUUCGAAAACAAAAACUGACUCCGGGCAAUAUAUUUUUCGGCCUUUAUGGGCAGAGAACUUUAAUACCGAAAUUGAUAGCCACCCAGUUUCUUGAUAUCAGUAAGAUAUUCUACGAUCAUUUCCAAUAAGUAAGAAUAUCCCUCUACAUAUAAGACUAAAAAUGCUAUAAUGGAAUUUUUUUCGACCUUUUUGGGCAACAACAAUACUCGUCAACAUUUUGCCACCCAGUAAGAUUUGAAUCGCAGUAUCAAAUCUUAUAUUCCAGGAUCUAGAAGCUUGUUUUAAUCCAUAAAUGGGGCGAAAAAGCUUACAAACCUUUUUUUUCUUGAUCUUGUUCUAUAAACCCCUCUGGUUGAGACAUAUAGAUACUCUCUUCAAGAUUACCAUUCAAAAAAGCUGUCUUGACAUCCAUCUGGCCAAAUUUCAUAAUCAUAAAAAGUGGCGAUGGAUAAGAGUAUUCUAAUUGACUUUAACAUGGCAACAGGAGAGAAAGUUUCCUCAUAGUCUACUCUCCUCUCUCUGGUAUAACCCUUUGCCACAAGUCGAGCCUUGAAAGUCUGUACUUUACCGGCAUGGUCUCGUUUUCUCUUGUAGAUCCAUUUACAACCAAUAGGUUUUACGUCAUUUGGUUGAUCUACUAGAGUCCAGACAGAAUUAAAGUACAUAGACUCCAUUUCGAGGUCCAUGGCUUUGAUCCAUUGGUCACGAUCUACAUCUUUCAUUGCCUGUUUAUAGGUUAAUGGAUCCUCUAUGCCAUCGUCAGGUAUGACGACUUGAGUUUCAAUUAAACCCAAAUAGCGAUCAGGCUGAUGAACAACCCUCCCACUACGUCGAGGCUCUCUCAAUUGUUGAGAAGGAUGUGAUUGUCCAGAUUUCCUAGUCUUAUCAACUACCUUAGUGGAUGAACUAGGUUUAUCUAUAGCACUUUUGGAAAUUUCUUUUAAUACUAGUUUACUACGAGGUUGAUGAUCCCUGAUGUGGUCUUCCUCUAAGAAUGUGGCAUUUGUUGACACAAAUAUUUUAUUUUCUUGAGGAUCAUAAAACAAACCACCUCUUGAUUCUUUUGGAUAACCUAUAAAAAAGCAUAAUUUUGAACGAUGUUCCAAUUUCUUUGGAUUUUGUACCAACACGUGUGCUGGACAACCCCAAAUUCUAAAAUGACGUAAACUGCCUUUACGCCCUUUCCAUAGCUCAUAAGGUGUUUCUGAAACACUUUUAGAGGGAACAUUAUUCAAAAUAUAAGCAGCUGUUUCUAAAGCAUAUCCCAAAAAAGAAUCUGACAUCUGAGAAAAACUUAUCAUAGAGCGAACCAUGUCUAACAAGGUCCGGUUUCUUCUUUCUGAUACACCGUUCUGUUGAGGUGUACUAGGUGCAGAGAGUUGUGACUGGAUUCCAUUUUCUAUUAAAUAGUCUCGGAAUCGUAAGUCCAUAUACUCUCCACCUCGAUCUGAUCGAAGUAUUUUUAUUGUUUUACCUAAUUCGUUUUCUACUUCAGCCUUAUAUUCUUUGAACUUUUCAAGACUAUUAGACUUAUGAUGUAUUAGGUAAAUAUGACCAUACCUUGAAUAAUCAUCAAUGAAGCUAAUGAAAUAUUCAUAUCCACCUCGAGCUUUGACAUUCAUUGGUCCACAAAGGUCCGAAUGUACGAGCUCUAAGGGUCCUUUGGCUCUUAGACCUUUUCCAGUAAAAGAUCUCUUUGGUUUUUUUUCCUUCAAGACAAGAUUCACAAGAGGUAAAGAGUUAUCUUCUAACGGACUUAGAAGCCCACUUUUAACCAAUCUCCCAAUCCUAUUGAGAUUUAUGUGACCAAGUCUUAAGUGCCAUAAAUAGGCAUUAGAAAAAACUUUUUGUCUUUUAUUCUGAGUUUCAGCUGUUCUGAAUAUUUCAGUAUUUAAGACAAAAUUUGCUCUAGUUGGUCUUAACUUAUAUAAGUUGUCUUCAAGUAUAGCAGAACAAACUAGAAUACCUUUAUAGAAAACGAACGCUUCAUUAAUUUCAAAAGAUAUUCUAUACAUUUGUUCCAAAAUACAAGAGAUAGAUAUUAAAUUUCUUUUCAUUUGAGGUACAUAUAAGACAUUCUUAAGUAUGACAUAUCUAUCUCUAAAAAAACUUUAAAUCUCCCACUGCUGAAGCUGAGACCAUCUCUCCUGUUCCAACCUUGAGAGUGAUCUCGCCUUCUGAAAGCUUUUUCCAAGAACUAUUUUCCUGAAAUGAGAAGCAAAUAUGGUUAGUGGCUCCUGAAUCUAAUAUCCAGGUAGAAUUUCAUAUUCCACUAAACAUGUUUCUACAACUAGUAAAUCAUAUUUACCUUGUGUUUCCUUCUCUGCCUUUUUUUCUGCAAGGUAUUUUGGGCAGUUUCUUAACCAGUGCCCGUUUUGGCCACAAUGGUAACACUUACCUUUUUCUGUAGCUUUCUUACCCUUGUUCUGUUUGGGAGUCUUUCCCUUUCCCUUCUUUUUAUUUGAGCAUUAGGUUUUGAGGGUCCAGCUUUGGUUUUAGAGGACGAUCCUCUUAUAAAUUUUCUUUUUGUGGUAGCAACAUUUGCUUCCACUUGUUUUCCUUUACCCAUAGUUAGGUUUUGGAAUCGCUGGAGUUCAUUCAGAAGGGUUGUCAAGUUAAAUUCUAUCUUGUUCAAAGACGCAUUCGUUUGGAAUGGAAUGAAGCUCUUCGGAAGAGACUCUAAGAUAAAACUAACUUGAUUAACCUCUUCGAUGGACCACCAUUCACUUCAGCGAUGUUGAAGUGCAUCAUCAUGUCCAGAACAUGUUCUCUAACAGAGGUCCCUUCCUUCAUACGCUUAGUGUAAAUGUAUUUGACUGCCUCGUGUCUUAAGGACAUUCUGGUUGCCCAAACAUUCCCCUUAAUGAAUCCAUAAUCUCUUUAGCCGUCGCUAAGGAUUCAUGUUUCUUUGCCAAUACAUCAGACAUGCUGGCAAGAAUGUAAACACGGGCUUUUUCAUUAGCUUUUAUCCAUCGAUCAUAUGCAUCCCGACUAGUUCGGUUAGCAUUAGAGGCAGGGUUUUGAGGACAUUCCUCAAUUAAGACAAAUCUUAAAUCGUCAACCACUAGUAUUGUGUUAAGAUUUGAUUUCCAAGCCGCAUAAUUAUCGCCAUUAAGUUUUUCGGAAGCUAAAAGUUGAACUAUUGAGCUAUUCAUGCUGAAAAACAAACAUAUUCUUUUUAAGAAAAAACUAUAAUCAUAAAAAAUAUCCAAUCUAAUUUAGCAAUUACUAAUAAUGUACCCUUUGAUUAUUUGUAUUUUGCAACAAUAUUUCAAAGGUUUAGAACAACCUUCUCCGAAGGGUAGUUGAUUAUUCCUCCUUUGAACCAAGACAAUCUUGACUAGAUGCUAUCUCAAGAAUAACUCUUUAUUCUUUAUAGCACUUAGUUAUCGCUACUUUAGUCAAGAAUAUACUAACAACUUAGUAAUUCUUGUAAGUGUUACCCACCAUUUUCAGAUUUUAUAGAUUAGAAUCAUUUAUGAAAACUAAUCUAAGAAAUCCUAUCCAGUUUUGGAGUUCGCGGUGUUCCGAAUCCUAUAAUACAACCCUCCGAAGGGAACGUCGCUCCAGGGCAGACAAGCAGGCAUAUUAUAGAAAUCUCACGGUGCGACCUAAUGGAAGAGACCGUGGGAUGUGCUGCCACAAAUCCCUCACCCACUUACUAUGAACUACUUCCCCUAUUCACCUUGAUUUUGAUCCAUGCAAACACUCUCCGAAGGGAGGCCGCUCCUAUGUACGACACAAAGCCCUGCAUGGACCUCACGGUGUGAACUCUUAUGGACACUAGAGCUAAAAUACAUUAUUUUUCUCUAGUUGAAGUGUUCUAGAGAAAAAAUAGGGUAAUCCAAGCUUCAAGAUUUAUAUUUAGGCUAACUUAAACAAAUCUUAAGCCUAGAUAAAACAUCCAAGUAUAACCAUUAUACAGGAUUUUAACUUAUGAUGUCUAGGUGAAAAACCAUUUUUAUUACCUCACACCUCUCACGAAUGCUCAUAAAACUAGGUUAUCUAGGCUCAAGAACUGAUUACGAUCUCCAGGUAGGAGGUGUUCCGUAAACCGUCAACUUAAGAACCUCCAACCUUAGUCAUCUUAUCUGACUUGUUGACAAGAUUGAACCAGGUGAGCCUUUUGUAACCAGUUUUACAAGAUAUCGACCUAUUUCUAUGAAAAAUGGAAGAUAUGUUUAACCUAAGUGAGCAUGCAUUUAAUCUUUGUUAUUGAUUUUAAAAGUCUAAUUUAUUUUAUAACACUUAUAAAAAAAACUUCUAGACUUAAUCAAUCAUUUUAUCAAUAUAUAAUCUUAUAAAAACAAUCAAUUAAUAUGGAUUUUAAUUUAUUUAACUUUAAUUAAAUCAUAUUUAAUUAAAUUAAAUCAAACAAUAAUUAAUUAAUUUGAUUAAAUCAUAUUUAAUCAAGAAUAACUUAAUUAAUUAAAUAAUUAAUUAAUCAUAUUAAUUAAUUUCCAUAUUAAUCAAUUAACAUGCAUACAAUACAAUAUAACCUUUAUAUCAUACAUUUUAAUGCAUGAACAUGUUAACCUAUGGUGGGAUUUUAAAUCUAUAUGACAUUCAAAAUGCACAUACAAAUUUAAAGUAAUUUAAUCAUACAUCACAUGCAUAAAUAAAAAAACACCCUAAAAUGGACUGAUUUUUGGCUCCUAAAUUAAGCUAAGUGCUAAAUUAUUACAUAAUUAAUUUGGUGUAGUACAGAACCACUCCCAAAAACUUCGAACCGGCUAAAAAACCAACCGAAACCGCUUGAACCGGCCCAAAAACCAAAUUUAUUGGCUUGAACCGGCCCAGGCGCACACGGGUCGUGCGAAGGCAGGCGCGCGGGCGCAUGCGGGCGCGCAGGCGCAUGCGGGCGCGGGGCACAGGCGGCGCACGGGCGCAUGCAGGCGCGCGGCGCAGGAGGCGCGCGCGGCGCAGGAGGCGCGCGGGCGCGCGGGCGCAGGAGACGCGCGGCGCGCGGGCGCAGGAGGGCGCGCGGCGCGCGGGCGCAGGAGGGCGCGCGGGCGCGCGGGGCGCAGGAGGGCGCGCGCGCGCGGGCGCAGGAGGGCGUGCGGGCGCGUGCGGGUCGCGAAGCGGGUCAAAACCGGGUUUUCGGGUCUGUGACCUUCUUUUCUUCAUUUUUUUCAAUUCUCUCACCCGGUUGAACCAAUUACAGCCUAGCUUCAACUCUAAUGACUUUUUUUAUUUUUUUAAAAAUUACAAACACUUUGCAACAAUAAAAAUAAGCCAUUAACAAGGCUAAUUACAAUAAUUAGAACAAAAACACUUAAUCUAGAGCCAAAAUCAUAAUAUAUCCAUUUUAGUUCAAACCAAAAUCUAUCUAAUAAAUAUGAACCCACCACAUGCAAUUGGGUAAAAAUGAAGCAUGCUCUGAUACCACAUGAUGGAACUAAUUCAUGCACAGCGGAAAAAGAAUCGAAUUUCUACCCUAAUUGCCACAAUUAACAUCUAACCAUAAAUUAAUCAAAUUAGGGUUUUAAGAAGUAUUACCUUUGAAGUCUUCUUACCAAUUCUACCCGAGACCACCACUAGUGCUCAACUGCUAUUCUCUAGACAAAGAACCGGGUUGUGGGACCCAAUUUUGGUGUAGAAAAUAAUGGAGAUAAAAUGAGAUUGGAAGUUUUUUUUUUCUUUUGUUGAGAUGAUGAAAAUGAUAAAAGAGGCAAAAGUCCUUCAACAUUUGAAAACAUCUCUAUUUAUAGCCUAAUUACAUGCAAAAAUGCAUGCAAUUCAAUUGCCAAAUCUCAACACCUAAUAUUCCACUAACAAUUAGUGGAACUUAGUGGGCUAGGUGUCUAUAUCUCAUAUAGCCACAUAUCCCACUAAGAGUUAGUGGGAUUAUCCAACAAAAUGUUGGAUUUUCCCACUAACUUAGUCCAAGGGUAAAAUGGUCAUUAGAUUUUUCUAGUCAAAAGUCAAACUUUGACUUUUCUAAGUCAAAAGUCAAUAUUUUGACUUUUUACCAUUUUGUCCGUCUUGACUAAUUCCAACCUCCCGAGCAUGAAUCCGCAUUCAUUUUUCCAAAAUUCAAAUCACAUUUGAAUAUAAUGCCGGUCAAAGUUUGACUUUUCAAAGUCAAAAGUCAACAUUUUGACUUUUUACUAUUUUUUGACCAAUUCCGAGCUUCUUAGUAUGAAUCCGCAUUCAUACUUAUAGUAUGUAGAACAUAAAGCUCUAUUUCUAAUUAGAAGACCGACGACUAUAUCACUAUAUUUGUCAGUUUCCCUUUCUUCUCCCAAUUCGAACAAUUCGACUUAUUUCAUCACACUGUUCUAAGUUUAAUCCAUAUGAGCUAGCAGAGGAACCUAAUGGACCUAUAGAUCAUGGGCUCCAACGAUUCAAGAUUAACUAGCUAAACUCUUUUAAACCGAGUUAAUCAACAUUCGUUAACUAACGGGUCAUUCCACUAAAGUCCCGUAGUUGCACUCCCCUCACUAUAGAUAUAUUUGUGUCCAUUUGAUAAAACCAUAAUCAGUAAGUUAAUCCUUCACAGGUUGCUCGUAACCUUGGCUGGGUCAAAAUACCGUUUUACCCCCAAGAUUACAUCUUGCUCCUUAAGUCCCACUAAUCCACUAUUGAACAAUUGGUUUAAGGUUCAACCUAUAAACUUAAUCCCUCUCGGGCCAAUGAGAGGGUGGGGCCCCUUGUUCAAGACUUGGAUUCAGUGCUUAAGAGAGCAACCUAUCUACUAACCCUAAAGCGGGUAGGAGUGAAUUCCAUCUUGUACCCUAUGUUCCCAGCUAUCCACCCGAUCUUACCCCUGAAAUGGGAGGCUUAUUGGGCCAACGCUGAUGAGCUGCCCUCACCUAUGCAGAUCUAAGGAUAAUCUCGUGUGAACAGGAGUUCAUAGUUAACUCAGGAUUAAGACUAAGUUACCUAGGUCAUCAAUAAUUGAGAUAGUCAGUUUUAAACAGUAAACGGUGUUAUAACGUAAAAAUGACUAUUUCAUGGUUCAGUCUUAUGUAAACAUUUUACAUAGGAUGCCCCCACUUUCAUGUCUCUACAUGAACGAUUAGGAUCACCUCGUUUGUACUACAAAGUGGGCCGCAUCCAUAGUUUCUCUAAAUAAGGCGCCCAACCUUUAUUUCAUAUACUAUAGACUAUUUAGGCUAUAUACUCGAACUUGAUCCACGUUUAUGUUUACAAAUAAAGUUCAAGUUUAAAAAUAAUAGCCUUGGAACUUGAUUUAUUGGAUUUAAGAUUAUAGUAUUUAAUUUCUCAAUAACAACUUUAUUGAACAGAAUAUGAUUUACAAACUACGAGUUUUAGGACAAAAAUUCCAACACUAUUUAGGCCGAUGAUAGCCCGCGGAUAGGUGUGGAAACCCAUCUAUAUUGCACCCAGUAUGACACAGAAAAAAAGCCCAGGGCCUAGGGGUCGGGUGGGGCUCGUUCGGGGUGCACAACGGUUGCGCCAAAAACGGUCCAAAAAUGGCCAAGGCUUUACCAUACCGAAAAUCGGCCGAUUUUUAACCAUGUGAGAAACGUCCCGAAAAUUCACAGAUAACUACUAGGAGGCCUCACUCUGAGUAAUAUGAAAGUUUUCUCCCACAAGAACCGCUCGGAGAUGCCCAGACUCAGUUUUUAUUUUCGUCCCAAUACUUUUCUUCCCAUGGACUAGUUGUGUUUCUUUGAUCUUGUGCAACCUAUUUAGGCCGAUGAUAGCCCGCGGAUAGGUGUGGAAACCCAUCUAUAUUGCACCCAGUAUGACACAGAAAAAAAGCCCAGGGCCUAGGGGUCGGGUGGGGCUCGUUCGGGGUGCACAACGGUUGCGCCAAAAACGGUCCAAAAAUGGCCAAGGCUUUACCAUACCGAAAAUCGGCCGAUUUUUAACCAUGUGAGAAACGUCCCGAAAAUUCACAGAUAACUACUAGGAGGCCUCACUCUGAGUAAUAUGAAAGUUUUCUCCCACAAGAACCGCUCGGAGAUGCCCAGACUCAGUUUUUAUUUUCGUCCCAAUACUUUUCUUCCCAUAGACUAGUUGUGUUUCUUUGAUCUUGUGCAACCUAUUUGGGCCGAUGAUAGCCCGCGGAUAGGUGUGGAAACCCAUCUAUAUUGCACACAGUAUGACACAGAAAAAAAGCCCAGGGCCUAGGGGUCGGGUGGGGCUCGUUCGGGGUGCACAACGGUUGCGCCAAAAACGGUCCAAAAAUGGCCAAGGCUUUACCAUACCGAAAAUCGGCCGAUUUUAACCAUGUGAGAAACGUCCCAAAAAUUCACAGAUAACUACUAGGAGGCCUCACUCUGAGUAAUAUGAAAGUUUUCUCCCACAAGAACCGCUCGGAGAUGCCCAGACUCAGUUUUUAUUUUCGUCCCAAUACUUUUCUUCCCAUGGACUAGUUGUGUUUCUUUGAUCUUGUGCAACCUAUUUAGGCCGAUGAUAGCCCGCGGAUAGGUGUGGAAACCCAUCUAUAUUGCACCCAGUAUGACACAGAAAAAAAGCCCAGGGCCUAGGGGUCGGGUGGGGCUCGUUCGGGGUGCACAACGGUUGCGCCAAAAACGGUCCAAAAAUGGCCAAGGCUUUACCAUACCGAAAAUCGGCCGAUUUUUAACCAUGUGAGAAACGUCCCGAAAAUUCACAGAUAACUACUAGGAGGCCUCACUCUGAGUAAUAUCAAAGUUUUCUCCCACAAGAACCGCUCGGAGAUGCCCAGACUCAGUUUUUAUUUUCGUCCCAAUACUUUUCUUCCCAUGGACUAGUUGUGUUUCUUUGAUCUUGUGCAACCUAUUUGGGCCGAUGAUAGCCCGCGGAUAGGUGUGGAAACCCAUCUAUAUUGCACACAGUAUGACACAGAAAAAAAGCCCAGGGCCUAGGGGUCGGGUGGGGCUCGUUCGGGGUGCACAACGGUUGCGCCAAAAACGGUCCAAAAAUGGCCAAGGCUUUACCAUACCGAAAAUCGGCCGAUUUUUAACCAUGUGAGAAACGUCCCGAAAAUUCACAGAUAACUACUAGGAGGCCUCACUCUGAGUAAUAUUAAAGUUUUCUCCCACAAGAACCGCUCGGAGAUGCCCAGACUCAGUUUUUAUUUUCGUCCCAAUACUUUUCUUCCCAUGGACUAGUUGUGUUUCUUUGAUCUUGUGCAACCUAUUUAGGCCGAUGAUAGCCCGCGGAUAGGUGUGGAAACCCAUCUAUAUUGCACCCAGUAUGACACAGAAAAAAAGCCCAGGGCCUAGGGGUCGGGUGGGGCUCGUUCGGGGUGCACAACGGUUGCGCCAAAAACGGUCCAAAAAUGGCCAAGGCUUUACCAUACCGAAAAUCGGCCGAUUUUUAACCAUGUGAGAAACGUCCCGAAAAUUCACAGAUAACUACUAGGAGGCCUCACUCUGAGUAAUAUGAAAGUUUUCUCCCACAAGAACCGCUCGGAGAUGCCCAGACUCAGUUUUUAUUUUCGUCCCAAUACUUUUCUUCCCAUGGACUAGUUGUGUUUCUUUGAUCUUGUGCAACCUAUUUGGGCCGAUGAUAGCCCGCGGAUAGGUGUGGAAACCCAUCUAUAUUGCACCCAGUAUGACACAGAAAAAAAGCCCAGGGCCUAAGGGUCGGGUGGGGCUCGUUCGGGGUGCACAACGGUUGCGCCAAAAACGGUCCAAAAAUGGCCAAGGCUUUACCAUACCGAAAAUCGGCCGAUUUUUAACCAUGUGAGAAACGUCCCGAAAAUUUAUAGAUAACUACUAGGAGGCCUCACUCUGAGUAAUAUGAAAGUUUUAUCCCACAAGAACCGCUCGGAGAAGCCCGGACUCAGUUUUUAUUUUCGUCCCAAUACUUUUCUUCCCAUGGACUAGUUGUGUUUCUUUGAUCUUGUGCAACAUCUUUAGGCCGAUGAUAGCCCGCGGAUAGGUGUGGAAACCCAUCUAUAUUGCACCCAGUAUGACACAGAAAAAAAGCCCAGGGCCUAGGGGUCGGGUGGGGCUCGUUCGGGGUGCACAACGGUUGCGCCAAAAACGGUCCAAAAAUGGCCAAGGCUUUACCAUACCGAAAAUCGGCCGAUUUUUAACCAUGUGAGAAACGUCCCGAAAAUUCACAGAUAACUACUAGGAGGCCUCACUCUGAGUAAUAUGAAAGUUUUCUCCCACAAGAACCGCUCGGAGAUGCCCAGACUCAGUUUUUAUUUUCGUCCCAAUACUUUUCUUCCCAUGGACUAGUUGUGUUUCUUUGAUCUUGUGCAACCUAUUUAGGCCGAUGAUAGCCCGCGGAUAGGUGUGGAAACCCAUCUAUAUUGCACCCAGUAUGACACAGAAAAAAAGCCCAGGGCCUAGGGGUCGGGUGGGGCUCGUUCGGGGUGCACAACGGUUGCGCCAAAAACGGUCCAAAAAUGGCCAAGGCUUUACCAUACCGAAAAUCGGCCGAUUUUUAACCAUGUGAGAAACGUCCCGAAAAUUCACAGAUAACUACUAGGAGGCCUCACUCUGAGUAAUAUGAAAGUUUUCUCCCACAAGAACCGCUCGGAGAUGCCCAGACUCAGUUUUUAUUUUCGUCCCAAUACUUUUCUUCCCAUGGACUAGUUGUGUUUCUUUGAUCUUGUGCAACCUAUUUAGGCCGAUGAUAGCCCGCGGAUAGGUGUGGAAACCCAUCUAUAUUGCACCCAGUAUGACACAGAAAAAAAGCCCAGGGCCUAGGGGUCGGGUGGGGCUCGUUCGGGGUGCACAACGGUUGCGCCAAAAACGGUCCAAAAAUGGCCAAGGCUUUACCAUACCGAAAAUCGGCCGAUUUUUAACCAUGUGAGAAACGUCCCGAAAAUUCACAGAUAACUACUAGGAGGCCUCACUCUGAGUAAUAUUAAAGUUUUCUCCCACAAGAACCGCUCGGAGAUGCCCAGACUCAGUUUUUAUUUUCGUCCCAAUACUUUUCUUCCCAUGGACUAGUUGUGUUUCUUUGAUCUUGUGCAACCUAUUUAGGCCGAUGAUAGCCCGCGGAUAGGUGUGGAAACCCAUCUAUAUUGCACCCAGUAUGACACAGAAAAAAAGCCCAGGGCCUAGGGGUCGGGUGGGGCUCGUUCGGGGUGCACAACGGUUGCGCCAAAAACGGUCCAAAAAUGGCCAAGGCUUUACCAUACCGAAAAUCGGCCGAUUUUUAACCAUGUGAGAAACGUCCCGAAAAUUCACAGAUAACUACUAGGAGGCCUCACUCUGAGUAAUAUUAAAGUUUUCUCCCACAAGAACCGCUCGGAGAUGCCCAGACUCAGUUUUUAUUUUCGUCCCAAUACUUUUCUUCCCAUGGACUAGUUGUGUUUCUUUGAUCUUGUGCAACCUAUUUAGGCCGAUGAUAGCCCGCGGAUAGGUGUGGAAACCCAUCUAUAUUGCACCCAGUAUGACACAGAAAAAAAGCCCAGGGCCUAGGGGUCGGGUGGGGCUCGUUCGGGGUGCACAACGGUUGCGCCAAAAACGGUCCAAAAAUGGCCAAGGCUUUACCAUACCGAAAAUCGGCCGAUUUUUAACCAUGUGAGAAACGUCCCGAAAAUUCACAGAUAACUACUAGGAGGCCUCACUCUGAGUAAUAUGAAAGUUUUCUCCCACAAGAACCGCUCGGAGAUGCCCAGACUCAGUUUUUAUUUUCGUCCCAAUACUUUUCUUCCCAUGGACUAGUUGUGUUUCUUUGAUCUUGUGCAACCUAUUUAGGCCGAUGAUAGCCCGCGGAUAGGUGUGGAAACCCAUCUAUAUUGCACCCAGUAUGACACAGAAAAAAAGCCCAGGGCCUAGGGGUCGGGUGGGGCUCGUUCGGGGUGCACAACGGUUGCGCCAAAAACGGUCCAAAAAUGGCCAAGGCUUUACCAUACCGAAAAUCGGCCGAUUUUUAACCAUGUGAGAAACGUCCCGAAAAUUCACAGAUAACUACUAGGAGGCCUCACUCUGAGUAAUAUUAAAGUUUUCUCCCACAAGAACCGCUCGGAGAUGCCCAGACUCAGUUUUUAUUUUCGUCCCAAUACUUUUCUUCCCAUGGACUAGUUGUGUUUCUUUGAUCUUGUGCAACCUAUUUAGGCCGAUGAUAGCCCGCGGAUAGGUGUGGAAACCCAUCUAUAUUGCACCCAGUAUGACACAGAAAAAAAGCCCAGGGCCUAGGGGUCGGGUGGGGCUCGUUCGGGGUGCACAACGGUUGCGCCAAAAACGGUCCAAAAAUGGCCAAGGCUUUACCAUACCGAAAAUCGGCCGAUUUUUAACCAUGUGAGAAACGUCCCGAAAAUUCACAGAUAACUACUAGGAGGCCUCACUCUGAGUAAUAUGAAAGUUUUCUCCCACAAGAACCGCUCGGAGAUGCCCGGACUCAGUUUUUAUUUUCGUCCCAAUACUUUUCUUCCCAUGGACUAGUUGUGUUUCUUUGAUCUUGUGCAACCUAUUUAGGCCGAUGAUAGCCCGCGGAUAGGUGUGGAAACCCAUCUAUAUUGCACCCAGUAUGACACAGAAAAAAAGCCCAGGGCCUAGGGGUCGGGUGGGGCUCGUUCGGGUGCACAACGGUUGCGCCAAAAACGGUCCAAAAAUGGCCAAGGCUUUACCAUACCGAAAAUCGGCCGAUUUUUAACCAUGUGAGAAACGUCCCGAAAAUUCACAGAUAACUACUAGGAGGCCUCACUCUGAGUAAUAUGAAAGUUUUCUCCCACAAGAACCGCUCGGAGAUGCCCAGACUCAGUUUUUAUUUUCGUCCCAAUACUUUUCUUCCCAUGGACUAGUUGUGUUUCUUUGAUCUUGUGCAACCUAUUUAGGCCGAUGAUAGCCCGCGGAUAGGUGUGGAAACCCAUCUAUAUUGCACCCAGUAUGACACAGAAAAAAAGCCCAGGGCCUAGGGGUCGGGUGGGGCUCGUUCGGGGUGCACAACGGUUGCGCCAAAAACGGUCCAAAAAUGGCCAAGGCUUUACCAUACCGAAAAUCGGCCGAUUUUUAACCAUGUGAGAAACGUCCCGAAAAUUCACAGAUAACUACUAGGAGGCCUCACUCUGAGUAAUAUUAAAGUUUUUUCCCACAAGAACCGCUCGGAGAUGCCCAGACUCAGUUUUUAUUUUCGUCCCAAUACUUUUCUUCCCAUGGACUAGUUGUGUUUCUUUGAUCUUGUGCAACCUAUUUAGGCCGAUGAUAGCCCGCGGAUAGGUGUGGAAACCCAUCUAUAUUGCACCCAGUAUGACACAGAAAAAAAGCCCAGGGCCUAGGGGUCGGGUGGGGCUCGUUCGGGGUGCACAACGGUUGCGCCAAAAACGGUCCAAAAAUGGCCAAGGCUUUACCAUACCGAAAAUCGGCCGAUUUUUAACCAUGUGAGAAACGUCCCGAAAAUUCACAGAUAACUACUAGGAGGCCUCACUCUGAGUAAUAUUAAAGUUUUCUCCCACAAGAACCGCUCGGAGAUGCCCAGACUCAGUUUUUAUUUUCGUCCCAAUACUUUUCUUCCCAUGGACUAGUUGUGUUUCUUUGAUCUUGUGCAACCUAUUUAGGCCGAUGAUAGCCCGCGGAUAGGUGUGGAAACCCAUCUAUAUUGCACCCAGUAUGACACAGAAAAAAAGCCCAGGGCCUAGGGGUCGGGUGGGGCUCGUUCGGGGUGCACAACGGUUGCGCCAAAAACGGUCCAAAAAUGGCCAAGGCUUUACCAUACCGAAAAUCGGCCGAUUUUUAACCAUGUGAGAAACGUCCCGAAAAUUCACAGAUAACUACUAGGAGGCCUCACUCUGAGUAAUAUGAAAGUUUUCUCCCACAAGAACCGCUCGGAGAUGCCCAGACUCAGUUUUUAUUUUCGUCCCAAUACUUUUCUUCCCAUGGACUAGUUGUGUUUCUUUGAUCUUGUGCAACCUAUUUAGGCCGAUGAUAGCCCGCGGAUAGGUGUGGAAACCCAUCUAUAUUGCACCCAGUAUGACACAGAAAAAAAGCCCAGGGCCUAGGGGUCGGGUGGGGCUCGUUCGGGGUGCACAACGGUUGCGCCAAAAACGGUCCAAAAAUGGCCAAGGCUUUACCAUACCGAAAAUCGGCCGAUUUUUAACCAUGUGAGAAACGUCCCGAAAAUUCACAGAUAACUACUAGGAGGCCUCACUCUGAGUAAUAUCAAAGUUUUCUCCCACAAGAACCGCUCGGAGAUGCCCAGACUCAGUUUUUAUUUUCGUCCCAAUACUUUUCUUCCCAUGGACUAGUUGUGUUUCUUUGAUCUUGUGCAACCUAUUUAGGCCGAUGAUAGCCCGCGGAUAGGUGUGGAAACCCAUCUAUAUUGCACCCAGUAUGACACAGAAAAAAAGCCCAGGGCCUAGGGGUCGGGUGGGGCUCGUUCGGGGUGCACAACGGUUGCGCCAAAAACGGUCCAAAAAUGGCCAAGGCUUUACCAUACCGAAAAUCGGCCGAUUUUUAACCAUGUGAGAAACGUCCCGAAAAUUCACAGAUAACUACUAGGAGGCCUCACUCUGAGUAAUAUUAAAGUUUUCUCCCACAAGAACCGCUCGGAGAUGCCCAGACUCAGUUUUUAUUUUCGUCCCAAUACUUUUCUUCCCAUGGACUAGUUGUGUUUCUUUGAUCUUGUGCAACCUAUUUAGGCCGAUGAUAGCCCGCGGAUAGGUGUGGAAACCCAUCUAUAUUGCACCCAGUAUGACACAGAAAAAAAGCCCAGGGCCUAGGGGUCGGGUGGGGCUCGUUCGGGGUGCACAACGGUUGCGCCAAAAACGGUCCAAAAAUGGCCAAGGCUUUACCAUACCGAAAAUCGGCCGAUUUUUAACCAUGUGAGAAACGUCCCGAAAAUUCACAGAUAACUACUAGGAGGCCUCACUCUGAGUAAUAUGAAAGUUUUCUCCCACAAGAACCGCUCGGAGAUGCCCAGACUCAGUUUUUAUUUUCGUCCCAAUACUUUUCUUCCCAUGGACUAGUUGUGUUUCUUUGAUCUUGUGCAACCUAUUUAGGCCGAUGAUAGCCCGCGGAUAGGUGUGGAAACCCAUCUAUAUUGCACCCAGUAUGACACAGAAAAAAAGCCCAGGGCCUAGGGGUCGGGUGGGGCUCGUUCGGGGUGCACAACGGUUGCGCCAAAAACGGUCCAAAAAUGGCCAAGGCUUUACCAUACCGAAAAUCGGCCGAUUUUUAACCAUGUGAGAAACGUCCCGAAAAUUCACAGAUAACUACUAGGAGGCCUCACUCUGAGUAAUAUGAAAGUUUUCUCCCACAAGAACCGCUCGGAGAUGCCCAGACUCAGUUUUUAUUUUCGUCCCAAUACUUUUCUUCCCAUGGACUAGUUGUGUUUCUUUGAUCUUGUGCAACCUAUUUAGGCCGAUGAUAGCCCGCGGAUAGGUGUGGAAACCCAUCUAUAUUGCACCCAGUAUGACACAGAAAAAAAGCCCAGGGCCUAGGGGUCGGGUGGGGCUCGUUCGGGGUGCACAACGGUUGCGCCAAAAACGGUCCAAAAAUGGCCAAGGCUUUACCAUACCGAAAAUCGGCCGAUUUUUAACCAUGUGAGAAACGUCCCGAAAAUUCACAGAUAACUACUAGGAGGCCUCACUCUGAGUAAUAUUAAAGUUUUCUCCCACAAGAACCGCUCGGAGAUGCCCAGACUCAGUUUUUAUUUUCGUCCCAAUACUUUUCUUCCCAUGGACUAGUUGUGUUUCUUUGAUCUUGUGCAACCUAUUUAGGCCGAUGAUAGCCCGCGGAUAGGUGUGGAAACCCAUCUAUAUUGCACCCAGUAUGACACAGAAAAAAAGCCCAGGGCCUAGGGGUCGGGUGGGGCUCGUUCGGGGUGCACAACGGUUGCGCCAAAAACGGUCCAAAAAUGGCCAAGGCUUUACCAUACCGAAAAUCGGCCGAUUUUUAACCAUGUGAGAAACGUCCCGAAAAUUCACAGAUAACUACUAGGAGGCCUCACUCUGAGUAAUAUUAAAGUUUUCUCCCACAAGAACCGCUCGGAGAUGCCCAGACUCAGUUUUUAUUUUCGUCCCAAUACUUUUCUUCCCAUGGACUAGUUGUGUUUCUUUGAUCUUGUGCAACCUAUUUAGGCCGAUGAUAGCCCGCGGAUAGGUGUGGAAACCCAUCUAUAUUGCACCCAGUAUGACACAGAAAAAAAGCCCAGGGCCUAGGGGUCGGGUGGGGCUCGUUCGGGGUGCACAACGGUUGCGCCAAAAACGGUCCAAAAAUGGCCAAGGCUUUACCAUACCGAAAAUCGGCCGAUUUUUAACCAUGUGAGAAACGUCCCGAAAAUUCACAGAUAACUACUAGGAGGCCUCACUCUGAGUAAUAUUAAAGUUUUCUCCCACAAGAACCGCUCGGAGAUGCCCAGACUCAGUUUUUAUUUUCGUCCCAAACUUUUCUUCCCAUGGACUAGUUUUGUUUCUUUGAUCUUGUGCAACCUAUUUAGGCCGAUGAUAGCCCGCGGAUAGGUGUGGAAACCCAUCUAUAUUGCACCCAGUAUGACACAGAAAAAAAGCCCAGGGCCUAGGGGUCGGGUGGGGCUCGUUCGGGGUGCACAACGGUUGCGCCAAAAACGGUCCAAAAAUGGCCAAGGCUUUACCAUACCGAAAAUCGGCCGAUUUUUAACCAUGUGAGAAACGUCCCGAAAAUUCACAGAUAACUACUAGGAGGCCUCACUCUGAGUAAUAUCAAAGUUUUCUCCCACAAGAACCGCUCGGAGAUGCCCGGACUCAGUUUUUAUUUUCGUCCCAAUACUUUUCUUCCCAUGGACUAGUUGUGUUUCUUUGAUCUUGUGCAACCUAUUUAGGCCGAUGAUAGCCCGCGGAUAGGUGUGGAAACCCAUCUAUAUUGCACCCAGUAUGACACAGAAAAAAAGCCCAGGGCCUAGGGGUCGGGUGGGGCUCGUUCGGGUGCACAACGGUUGCGCCAAAAACGGUCCAAAAAUGGCCAAGGCUUUACCAUACCGAAAAUCGACCGAUUUUUAACCAUGUGAGAAACGUCCCGAAAAUUCACAGAUAACUACUAGGAGGCCUCACUCUGAGUAAUAUCAAAGUUUUCUCCCACAAGAACCGCUCGGAGAUGCCCAGACUCAGUUUUUAUUUUCGUCCCAAUACUUUUCUUCCCAUGGACUAGUUGUGUUUCUUUGAUCUUGUGCAACCUAUUUAGGCCGAUGAUAGCCCGCGGAUAGGUGUGGAAACCCAUCUAUAUUGCACCCAGUGUGACACAGAAAAAAAGCCCAGGGCCUAGGGGUCGGGUGGGGCUCGUUCGGGGUGCACAACGGUUGCGCCAAAAACGGUCCAAAAAUGGCCAAGGCUUUACCAUACCGAAAAUCGGCCGAUUUUUAACCAUGUGAGAAACGUCCCGAAAAUUCACAGAUAACUACUAGGAGGCCUCACUCUGAGUAAUAUCAAAGUUUUCUCCCACAAGAACCGCUCGGAGAUGCCCGGACUCAGUUUUUAUUUUCGUCCCAAUACUUUUCUUCCCAUGGUUUAGUUGUGUUUCUUUGAUCUUGUGCAACCUAUUUAGACCGAUGAUAGCCCGCGGAUAGGUGUGGAAACCCAUCUAUAUUGCACCCAGUAUGACACAGAAAAAAAGCCCAGGGCAUAGGGGUCGGGUGGGGCUCGUUCGGGGUGCACAACGGUUGCGCCAAAAACGGUCCAAAAAUGGCCAAGGCUUUACCAUACGAAAAAUCGGCCGAUUUUUAACCAUGCGAGAAACGUCCCGAAAAUUCACAGAUAACUACUAGGCGGCCUCACUUUGAGUAAUAUUAAAGUUUUUUCCCACAAAAACAGCUCGGAGAUGCCCAGACUCAGUUUUUAUUUUCGUCCCAAUACUUUUCUUCCCAUGGUUUAGUUGUGUUCCUUUGAUCUUGUGCAACCUAUUUAGACCGAUGAUAGCCCGCGGAUAGGUGUGGAAACCCAUCUAUAUUGCACCCAGUAUGACACAGAAAAAAAUCCCAGGGCAUAGGGGUCGGGUGGGGCUCGUUCGGGGUGCACAACGGUUGCGCCAAAAACGGUCCAAAAAUGGCCAAGGCUUUACCAUACGAAAAAUCGGCCAGGUUUUAACCAUGCGAGAAACGUCCCGAAAACUCACAGAUAACUACUAGGCGGCCUCACUUUGAGUAAUAUUAAAGUUUUUUCCCACAAAAAAGCUCGGAGAUGCCCAGACUCAGUUUUUAUUUUUUCGUCCCAAUACUUUUCUUCCCAUGGUUUGGUUGUGUUCCUUUGAUAUUUUGCGACCUAUUUAGACCUAUGAUUGCCCGCGGAUAGGUGUGGAAACCCAUCUAUAUUGCACCCAGUAUGACACAGAAAAAAAUCCCAGGGCAUAGGGGUCGGGUGGGGCUCGUUCGGGGUGCACAACGGUUGCGCCAAAAACGGUCCAAAAAUGGCCAAGGCUUUACCAUACGAAAAAUCGGCCGAUUUUUAACAAUGCGAGAAACGUCCCGAAAACUCACAGAUAACUUCUAGGCGGCCUCACUUUGAGUAAUAUUAAAGUUUUUUCCUACAAAAACAGCUCGGAGAUGCCCAUACUCACUUUUUAUUUUCGUCCCAAUACUUUUCUUCCCAUGGUUUGGUUGUGUUCUUUGAUCUUGUGCAACCUAUUUAGACCGAUGAUAGCCCGCGGAUAGGUGUGGAAACCCAUCUAUAUUGCACCCAGUAUGACACAGAAAAAAAUCCCAGGGCAUAGGGGUCGGGUGGGGCUCGUUCGGGGUGCACAACUGUUGCGCCAAAAACGGUCCAUAAAUGGCCAAGGCUUUACCAUACGAAAAAUCGGUCGAUUUUUAACCAUGCGAGAAACGUCCCGAAAACUCACAGAUAACUACUAGGCGGCCUCACUUUAAGUAAUAUUAAAGUUUUUUCCCAUAAAAACAGCUCGUAGAUGCCCAGACUCACUUUUUAUUUUCGUCCCAAUACUUUUCUUCCCAUGGUUUGGUUGUGUUCCUUUGAUCUUGUGCAACCUAUUUAGACCGAUGAUAGCCCGCGGAUAGGUGUGGAAACCCAUCUAUAUUGCACCCAGUAUGACACAGAAAAAAAUCCCAGGGCAUAGGGGUCGGGUGGGGCUCGUUCGGGGUGUUCAACGGUUGAGCCAAAAACGGUCCAAAAAUGGCCAAGGCUUUACCGUACGAAAAAUCGGCCGAUUUUUACCCUUGCGAGAAACGUCCCGAAAGCUCACAGAUAACUACUAGGCGGCCUCACUUUGGGUAAUAUUAAAGUUUUUUCCCACAAAAACAGCUCGGAGAUGCCCAGACUCAGUUUUUAUUUUUGUCCCAAUACUUUUCUUCCCAUGGUUUAGUUGUGUUCUUUGAUCUUGUGCAACCUAUUUAGACGAUGAUAGCCCGCGGAUAGGUGUGGAAAACCAUCUAUAUUGCACCCAGUAUGACACAGAAAAAAAACCAGGGCAUAGGGGUCGGGUGGGGCUCGUUCGGGGUGCACAACGGUUGCGCCAAAAACGGUCCAAAAAUGGCCAAGGCUUUACCAUACGAAAAAUCGGCCAGGUUUUAACCAUGCGAGAAACAUCCCGAAAACACACAGAUAACUACUAGGUGGCCUCACUUUGAGUAAUAUUAAAGUUUUUUCCCACAAAAUUAGCUCGGAGAUGCCCAGAUUGAGUUUUUAUUUUCGUCCCAAUACUUUUCUUCCCACGGUUUAGUUGUGUUCCUUUGAUCUUGUGCAACCUAUGUAGACCGAUGAUAGCCCGCGGAUAGGUGUGGAAACCCAUCUAUAUUGCAGCCAGUAUGACACAGAAAAAAAUCCCAGGGCAUAGGGGUCGGGUGGGGCCCGUUCGGGGUGCACAACGAUUGCGCCAAAAACGGUCCAAAAAUGGACAAGGCUUUAGCAUACGAAAAAUCGGCCGAUUUUUAAGCAUGCGAGAAACGUCCCGAAAACUCACAGAUACCUACUAGGCGGCCUCACUUUGAGUAAUUUUAAAGUUUUUUCCCACAAAAACAGCUCGGAGAUGCCCAUACUCAGUUUUUAUUUUCGUCACAAUACUUUUCUUCCCAUGGUUUGGUUGUGUUCUUUUGAUCUUGUGCAACCUAUUUAGACCGAUGAUAGCCCGCGGAUAGGUGUGGAAACCAAUCUAUAUUGCACCCAGUAUGACACAGAAAAAAAUCCCAGGGCAUAGGGGUCGGGUGGGGCUCGUUCGGGGUGCACAACGGUUGCGCCAAAAACGGUCCAAAAAUGGACAAGGCUACCAUACGAAAAAUCCGCCGAUUUUUAAGCAUGCCAGAAACGUCCCGAAAACUCACUGAUAACUACUAGGCGGCCUCACUUUGAGUAAUAUUAAAGUUUUUUCCCAGAAAAACAGCUCGGAGAUGCCCAGACUCAGUUUUUAUUUUCGUCCCAAUACUUUUCUUCCCAUGGUUUGGUUGUGUUUCUUUGAUCUUGUGCAACCUAUUUAGACCGAUGAUAGCCCGCGGAUAGGUGUGGAAACCCAUCUAUAUUGCAGCCAGUAUGACACAGAAAAAAAUCCCAGGGCAUAGGGGUCGGGUGGGGCCCGUUCGGGGUGCACAACGAUUGCACCAAAAACGGUCCAAAAAUGGACAAGGCUUUACCAUACGAAAAAUCGGCCGAUUUUUAAGCAUGCGAGAAACGUCCCGAAAACUCACAGAUACCUACUAGGCGGCCUCACUUUGAGUAAUUUUAAAGUUUUUUCCCACAAAAACAGCUCGGAGAUGACCAGACUCAGUUUUUAUUUUCGUCACAAUACUUUUCUUCCCAUGGUUUGGUUGUGUUCUUUUGAUCUUGUGCAACCUAUUUAGACCGAUGAUAGCCCGCGGAUAGGUGUGGAAACCAAUCUAUAUUGCACCCAGUAUGACACAGAAAAAAAUCCCAGGGCAUAGGGGUCGGGUGGGGCUCGUUCGGGGUGCACAACGGUUGCGCCAAAAACGGUCCAAAAAUGGACAAGGCUACCAUACGAAAAAUCCGCCGAUUUUUAAGCAUGCCAGAAACGUCCCGAAAACUCACAGAUAACUACUAGGCGGCCUCACUUUGAGUAAUAUUAAAGUUUUUUCCCACAAAAAUAGCUCGGAGAUGACCAGACUCAGUUUUUAUUUUCGUCACAAUACUUUUCUUCCCAUGGUUUGGUUGUGUUCUUUUGAUCUUGUGCAACCUAUUUAGACCGAUGAUAGCCCGCGGAUAGGUGUGGAAACCAAUCUAUAUUGCACCCAGUAUGACACAGAAAAAAAUCCCAGGGCAUAGGGGUCGGGUGGGGCUCGUUCGGGGUGCACAACGGUUGCGCCAAAAACGGUCCAAAAAUGGACAAGGCUACCAUACGAAAAAUCGCCGAUUUUUAAGCAUGUGAGAAACGUCCCGAAAACUCACAGAUAACUACUAGGCGGCCUCACUUUGAGUAAUAUUAAAGUUUUUUCCCACAAAAACAGCUCGGAGAUGCCCAGACUCAGUUUUUAUUUUCGUCCCAAUACUUUUAUUCCCAUGGUUUGGUUGUGUUUCUUUGAUCAUGUGCAACCUAUGUAGACCGAUGAUAGCCCGCGGAUAGGUGUGGAAACCCAUCUAUAUUGCAGCCAGUGUGACACAGAAAAAAAUCCCAGGGCAUAGGGGUCGGGUGGGGCCCGUUCGGGGUGCACAACGAUUGCGCCAAAAACGGUCCAAAAAUGGACAAGGCUUUACCAUACGAAAAAUCGGCCGAUUUUUAAGCAUGCGAGAAACGUCCCGAAAACUCACAGAUACCUACUAGGCGGCCUCACUUUGAGUAAUUUUAAAGUUUUUUCCCACAAAAACCGCUCGGAGAUGACCAGACUCAGUUUUUAUUUUCGUCACAAUACUUUUCUUCCCAUGGUUUGGUUGUGUUCUUUUGAUCUUGUGCAACCUAUUUAGACCGAUGAUAGCCCGCGGAUAGGUGUGGAAACCAAUCUAUAUUGCACCCAGUAUGACACAGAAAAAAAUCCCAGGGCAUAGGGGUCGGGUGGGGCUCGUUCGGGGUGCACAACGGUUGCGCCAAAAACGGUCCAAAAAUGGACAAGGCUACCAUACGAAAAAUCCGCCGAUUUUUAAGCAUGCCAGAAACGUCCCGAAAACUCACAGAUAACUACUAGGCGGCCUCACUUUGAGUAAUAUUAAAGUUUUUUCCCACAAAAAUAGCUCGGAGAUGCCCAGACUCAGUUUUUAUUUUCGUUCCAAUACUUUUCUUCCCAUUGUUUGGUUGUGUUCCUUUGAUCUUGUGCAACCUAUUUAGACCGAUGAUAGCCCGCGGAUAGGUGUGGAAACCCAUCUAUAUUGCACCCAGUAUGACAAUAAAAAAUCCCAGGGCAUAGGGGUCGGGUGGGGCUCGUUCGGGGUGCACAACGGUUGCGCCAAAAACGGUCCAAAAAUGGCCAAGGCUUUACCAUACGAAAAAUCGGCCAAUUUUUAACCGUGCGAGAAACGUCCCGAAAACUCACAGACAACUACUAGGCAGCCUCACUUUGAGUAAUAUUAAAGUUUUUUCCCACAAAAACAGCUCGGAGAUGCCCAGACUCAGUUUUUAUUUUCGUCCCAAUACUUUUCUUCCCAUGGUUUGGUUGUGUUCCUUUGAUCUUGUGCAACCUAUAUAGACCGAUCAUAGCCCGCGGAUAAGUGUGGAAACCCAUCUAUAUUGCACACAGUAUGACACAGAAAAAAAUCCCAGGGCAUAGGGGUCGGGUGGGGCUCGUUCGGGGUGCACAACGGUUGCGCCAAAAACGGUCAAAAAAUGGCCAAGGCUUUACCAUACGAAAAAUCGGCCCAUUUUUAACCGUUGGAGAAACGUCCCGAAAACUCACAGAUAACUACUAGGCGGCCUCACUUUGAGUGAUAUUAAAGUUUUUUCCCACAAAAACAGCUCGGAGAUGCCCAGACUCAGUUUUUUUUUCGUCCCAAUACUUUUCUUCCCAUGGUUAAAAAUUUUUUUCGUCCCAAUAUUUUUUUCGGCCUCUAUGGGCAAAGAACUUUAAUGCCGCUCAGAAUGAGGCCACCCAGUAGUUAGGUGUGAAUUUUCGAGACCUCUGGCACCGUUCUAAGAUGGGUCCUCUCUUCGUAGGCUAGUGCAUUGGCCCUUUUUGACCCGUUUUGGGGCGAAAACAAAAACUGACUCCCGGGCAUAUUUUUUUCGGCCUCUAUCGGCAAAGAACUUUAAUGCCGCUCAGAAUGAGGCCACCCAGUAGUUAGGUGUGAAUUUUCGAGACCUCUGGCACCGUUCUAAGAUGGGUCCUCUCUUCGUAGGCUAGUGCAUUGGCCCUUUUUGACCCGUUUUGGGGCGAAAACAAAAACUGACUCCCGGGCAUAUUUUUUUCGGCCUCUAUGGGCAAAGAACUUUAAUGCCGCUCAGAAUGAGGCCACCCAGUAGUUAGGUGUGAAUUUUCGAGACCUCUGGCACCGUUCUAAGAUGGGUCCUCUCUUCGUAGGCUAAUGCAUUGGCCCUUUUUGACCCGUUUUGGGGCGAAAACAAAAACUGACUCCCGGGCAUAUUUUUUUCGGCCUCUAUGGGCAAAGAACUUUAAUGCCGCUCAGAAUGAGGCCACCCAGUAGUUAGGUGUGAAUUUUCGAGACCUCUGGCACCGUUCUAAGAUGGGUCCUCUCUUCGUAGGCUAGUGCAUUGGCCCUUUUUGACCCGUUUUGGGGCGAAAACAAAAACUGACUCCCGGGCAUAUUUUUUUCGGCCUCUAUGGGCAAAGAACUUUAAUGCCGCUCAGAAUGAGGCCACCCAGUAGUUAGGUGUGAAUUUUCGAGACCUCUGGCACCGUUCUAAGAUGGGUCCUCUCUUCGUAGGCUAGUGCAUUGGCCCUUUUUGACCCGUUUUGGGGCGAAAACAAAAACUGACUCCCGGGCAUAUUUUUUUCGGCCUUAUGGGCAAAGAACUUUAAUGCCGCUCAGAAUGAGGCCACCCAGUAGUUAGGUGUGAAUUUUCGAGACCUCUGGCACCGUUCUAAGAUGGGUCCUCUCUUCGUAGGCUAAUGCAUUGGCCCUUUUUGACCCGUUUUGGGGCGAAAACAAAAACUGACUCCCGGGCAUAUUUUUUUCGGCCUCUAUGGGCAAAGAACUUUAAUGCCGCUCAGAAUGAGGCCACCCAGUAGUUAGGUGUGAAUUUUCGAGACCUCUGGCACAGUUCUAAGAUGGGUCCUCUCUUCGUAGGCUAGUGCAUUGGCCCUUUUGACCCGUUUUGGGGCGAAAACAAAAACUGACUCCCGGGCAUAUUUUUUUCGGCCACUAUGGGCAAAGAACUUUAAUGCCGCUCAGAAUGAGGCCACCCAGUAGUUAGGUGUGAAUUUUCGAGACCUCUGGCACCGUUCUAAGAUGGGUCCUCUCUUCGUAGGCUAAUGCAUUGGCCCUUUUUGACCCGUUUUGGGGCGAAAACAAAAACUGACUCCCGGGCAUAUUUUUUUCGGCCUCUAUGGGCAAAGAACUUUAAUGCCGCUCAGAAUGAGGCCACCCAGUAGUUAGGUGUGAAUUUUCGAGACCUCUGGCACCGUUCUAAGAUGGGUCCUCUCUUCGUAGGCUAAUGCAUUGGCCUUUUUCGACCCGUUUUGGGGCGAAAACAAAAACUGACUCCCGGGCAUAUUUUUUUCGGCCUCUAUGGGCAAAGAACUUUAAUGCCGCUCAGAAUGAGGCCACCCAGUAGUUAGGUGUGAAUUUUCGAGACCUCUGGCACCGUUCUAAGAUGGGUCCUCUCUUCGUAGGCUAGUGCAUUGGCCCUUUUUGACCCGUUUUGGGGCGAAAACAAAAACUGACUCCCGGGCAUAUUUUUUUCGGCCUCUAUGGGCAAAGAACUUUAAUGCCGCUCAGAAUGAGGCCACCCAGUAGUUAGGUGUGAAUUUUCGAGACCUCUGGCACCGUUCUAAGAUGGGUCCUCUCUUCGUAGGCUAGUGCAUUGGCCUUUUUCGACCCGUUUUGGGGCGAAAACAAAAACUGACUCCCGGGCAUAUUUUUUUCGGCCUUAUGGGCAAAGAACUUUAAUGCCGCUCAGAAUGAGGCCACCCAGUAGUUAGGUGUGAAUUUUCGAGACCUCUGGCACCGUUCUAAGAUGGGUCCUCUCUUCGUAGGCUAAUGCAUUGGCCCUUUUUGACCCGUUUUGGGGCGAAAACAAAAACUGACUCCCGGGCAUAUUUUUUUCGGCCUCUAUGGGCAAAGAACUUUAAUGCCGCUCAGAAUGAGGCCACCCAGUAGUUAGGUGUGAAUUUUCGAGACCUCUGGCACCGUUCUAAGAUGGGUCCUCUCUUCGUAGGCUAGUGCAUUGGCCCUUUUUGACCCGUUUUGGGGCGAAAACAAAAACUGACUCCCGGGCAUAUUUUUUUCGGCCUCUAUGGGCAAAGAACUUUAAUGCCGCUCAGAAUGAGGCCACCCAGUAGUUAGGUGUGAAUUUUCGAGACCUCUGGCACCGUUCUAAGAUGGGUCCUCUCUUCGUAGGCUAAUGCAUUGGCCCUUUUUGACCCGUUUUGGGGCGAAAACAAAAACUGACUCCCGGGCAUAUUUUUUUCGGCCUCUAUGGGCAAAGAACUUUAAUGCCGCUCAGAAUGAGGCCACCCAGUAGUUAGGUGUGAAUUUUCGAGACCUCUGGCACCGUUCUAAGAUGGGUCCUCUCUUCGUAGGCUAAUGCAUUGGCCCUUUUUGACCCGUUUUGGGGCGAAAACAAAAACUGACUCCCGGGCAUAUUUUUUUCGGCCUUUAUGGGCAAAGAACUUUAAUGCCGCUCAGAAUGAGGCCACCCAGUAGUUAGGUGUGAAUUUUCGAGACCUCUGGCACCGUUCUAAGAUGGGUCCUCUCUUCGUAGGCUAGUGCAUUGGCCCUUUUUGACCCGUUUUGGGGCGAAAACAAAAACUGACUCCCGGGCAUAUUUUUUUCGGCCUCUAUGGGCAAAGAACUUUAAUGCCGCUCAGAAUGAGGCCACCCAGUAGUUAGGUGUGAAUUUUCGAGACCUCUGGCACCGUUCUAAGAUGGGUCCUCUCUUCGUAGGCUAAUGCAUUGGCCCUUUUUGACCCGUUUUGGGGCAAAAACAAAAACUGACUCCCGGGCAUAUUUUUUUCGGCCUCUAUGGGCAAAGAACUUUAAUGCCGCUCAGAAUGAGGCCACCCAGUAGUUAGGUGUGAAUUUUCGAGACCUCUGGCACCGUUCUAAGAUGGGUCCUCUCUUCGUAGGCUAGUGCAUUGGCCCUUUUUGACCCGUUUUGGGGCGAAAACAAAAACUGACUCCCGGGCAUAUUUUUUUCGGCCUCUAUGGGCAAAGAACUUUAAUGCCGCUUAGAAUGAGGCCACCCAGUAGUUAGGUGUGAAUUUUCGAGACCUCUGGCACCGUUCUAAGAUGGGUCCUCUCUUCGUAAGCUAGUGCAUUGGCCCUUUUUGACCCGUUUUGGGGCGAA